UUUUUUUUUUUUUUUCAUGUAGUUAGUAUGCAUUACUAUGAGAAGAAGAACCAUUUAGUAGUAUGCUUGAUUUCUUUUGAGUUUGAAGCAUCCUUAUUUCUUUUUGUAGUCUAUCUUGGAGUCUCCUUUUGUGCCCCCUUAUUCGGAGACUCCCUUCCACCAUUCCCGUUAUUACUCUGUUCUAGGCUUCAGGAAUUAUCAUACUAGCAGUUUUCUCAGCAGGAUUUUUAGCUAUCUUGUAAUUCUCAUCAAUCCUUUACCCCCUCAUGAUAUUAGUAUUACACAUUCUUAAAAAACAUUUAUUUUAAUUGGUAUUAUCAGAAUAUUUGUUUCUUACAUAACUUCUUUUGGGACAUGAUGAAGAUGUCUGAACAUUGAAACUUAUUAGAACUAUGUAGAUACUUCGGUUAGAAACUGAAACCUAAUCAUGAAGGGAAAAAGGUUUUUAAUACAAUCUUUACAAUCAAAAGGCUAGGGCAUUCAGAUAUUUGGUUUUGGUGCAGGUAAGUCUCAAUGCAAAGCAGUUAAUGUACCGGUUGCUGCAUAGGGAUCCCAAGAAUAGAUUGGGUUCGCGUGAAGGAGCAAAUGAAAUCAAGCGACACCCAUUCUUUCGUGGUGUCAAUUGGGCUCUAGUCCGCUGCAUGGUAAAAUCACAAACCUUAUUACUGCAUGAAGUUUGGAUAAUAUCUCCAAUAUGAAUUUCUAUUAUAUGAUCAAAUUUAAUUGGAACUCCUUUUAGCAAAAGAGGUACAAUUGAUUCAAGGAGGGUAGAAUGGAAGAAACCAUUCAGUAAGAUAGGAUGAGAAGAAACCUUUUCUCCUUCCAAUAUUCUAGAUAUCAUGCACAUGAUCAUUUGGCAUUGUUGAGGUGGUGUGCUAAUGAUUGAUUUUUGGCUCAAUUUAAUCCUUAUUGUCACUGUUGUGUUUCCAAAAAAUAAGCUGAUUUGUACAUUCCGGCAGCCUUGGAGUAUAAUACAAUUUUGCCUGCAAGUGUGAUUAGGUGAAAUGAGUUCUAGUAUUUAGUAUCAAUCAUGGAAGCAGCACAAGGGAAACUUUGAACAUCAAAUGUCAUUUGGUUUCCUGGAAUUGCAGGCAAAUUUUCAUUUAUGGGAAUGAAACCAUUAUGGAAACCGGAGCUACCAUGGAAAAAACUGAAUACUGUCAUUCAUGAAUCUUACAAAUUGCCCUCCACAUAUGCAGUCAUCUCACAGAUAGUAUGAGGAGUGGAAUGAACCCUUUCCAAAUUUAUGUAGAACACAACAAUAUAAUGAUUUGGAACUAUGUUUAAUGCCUCCAAACAUUUACUUUUUUCUCUUUUUGGAAUAAGCACUAAGCAGAAACCAACAGAGCAUGACGGAAGAUGGAUAUUCUUUGUUAUGAAUUUCAGCAGUGUUUUAAAGCUGAAAUCCACAUUUUUGUACAAGCUAACAUUCCUAAAAGAAAAAUUGUUUGUCUCCAUAAGUAUUAGAUAUCCUAGAGCUAUAUAAGAUGAUGUUCUCUACUUUUCAUGCAUGAAUUGUUAUAUUCUGGGUUUAAUGACUACUAUAUUCAUCAAAUUUGCAGAACCCUCCUGAGCUUGAUGCUCCUCCCUUGGAGACAACUGAUGCUGAAAAGGAAGUUAAAUCUGUGGAUCCUGAACUCCUGGAUCUACAAACAAAUAUUUUCUAAGAGGUAACUCUUCCAAAUGAAUACUUUUAUGGGAAACAUGCUCCCUUUAGGAUGAUUGCAAUUUUCCUUUGAGACUUAAAAUUAUCAGCUGCAGAUCUGUGUAAGCAAACUUCAUGUCUCAUCCAGGAAACAUAAUGAGAGGAAGUGGAGAACUCUUCUUGUUGCUGGGUCAAGUAGAACUUUAAUUGGCAUUGCUUGUGUUUCAUCAUCACCAUUUCGCUCCAUAGCUGAGCCUGGGGAGCUGCUUGUAGAAAGAAAUCAGGUUCUCGAUCAAUGUCCUAUGUAAUGUAUGUGUGGUGUGAGGUUCUGUAAUCUUAUGUUGGCUGCAACUCAAAGGUUUUUUCAUUAUUAUAUUAUGUUAAUUUAUUCAUUCAACUCUCCACUUCUCCGUCUCCAUGAUUAAUUUGUUCAUUCAGUCGGUGCCCCACAAUUGUAACAGCAUCGGUUACAAGUUGAAACACAACAUUUAAUUGAAUUCAUGUCUUCAGUAAAUACACAGCAUUUAAGUAUUGAGCUGAAUUUAAAUCCUCCGAGGUUUUCAAAAGCUAAAAUGGGGCCAUCCAAAAUAUAUUUCCCAUGUCACCUUCUCUUGCUUUUGGCAACACCAUGCCCCAUCCCAUGUGGGUACUCUGCAUUCCAACUGUUAAUUGCUUCCAUCAAGGGAGACUAUUUCAACUAUUUUAUCUUUUUCUUUUUGUCUCCCUCUUGCUUUCAUAUUCAGGGAAUCUGGUAGGCAUUUUCUGCUUGAUUGAUUGUCUUCAUGUUGAGCAAUUAGGGAGAAGUUUCCGAGCCCAACAGCCUGCUGAAAUCAUUUUAACUGUCUGCAAUGGUUGCUUUUUCCCCUGCUUCACAAAAUGGGAUCAUGGAUCAGUGGGUAAAAAUGGAAAGCCCAAGAGAACGAUCACCAUAAAUGUCGUGUAGGAGAUGGAUGUUUCAUUAUUUGUUAGUGCAGCAACACCGCAUCCACAUGACUCUGCCAGUGCCAGUCCCUCCCUCUGCACCCCCACCCACCCACCCACAUGACCUUGGCCUGCCUUCCAUUUCACUCCCCAGUCCCCACCCCCCACCAUAAUUCCACAAUUUCAACAGAAAACGAGACUAUGGUCUUCCAAGUUCAAAGUUGAAUCGAUACCCUUUGAAUUUGGAGUCAUGAUCUUCAUUAGCUUUGCACAUCAAGCAAUUCCCUUUCCUUGAGAGGAAAGCCACAUCAUGUUUCACAAUUACAUUUUGGAAUUAUUAUUAUUAUUAUAAUAGAAGGUGUUAAAAGAGGGUAAGAGUAAUGAUGAGGGAAGCACGUGCUGCUUUAGAGUCCCCUCCGUCCUACACACAAGGUGAGAGAUCCAAGCCGCCUCAUCAAUGUUUUCUCCACUUUCUUGGAUUCCCUCAUCUUCCGUCUUCUCUUCCUCUCACUAGAAGCUCUCUACUCAGAGCUUCCAUGGCUUCCGCCUGAACCAUCUGCCUUCUCACUUCAUUUCUCUUCUCUUCUCUUCAAUGGCCGCUGACAACAUUUUGAAAUCUCGCCAAGUUUCCACUAUGAUAAAGCAAGGAUUCAUCUCUGACCCGACCAUCACCUUCUCUCCCUCCAGACCACUUUCUAGGGUUUCUCUCUCUCCUCCUCCUCCCUCUGCUUCCCCCUCCAAGAGUCCAACUCUCUUCGAGAUGAUGUCCGAGGAGCAGAGUCGCGAGUCUAGACACUCCGACGUUGCUCGCCGCAAGUUGCAGGACCAGGUUGCUAGGGUUCUGGCCGACGCUCCCUUUCGGGACCCUGCCUGGGGGGAAUUCGGUGACGUUAAGCUCACGGUGGCCUCGCGCGACGGCUUUAAGGUCUCCAUGGAUGUGCAUCGAAGAGUUCUGGUCGAACAGAGCCGAUUCUUUGCGGAGAAGUUGAGGCGGGACGGCGCCGUGUCGCAUUCGGUGGAGAUUUGUGAUUGUGACGAUGUGGAGAUUUAUGUGGAGACUGUGGUGUUGAUGUAUUGCGAGGAUUUGAGGAAGAGGUUGAUGGGAGAGGAGGUUUCCAAGGUCUUGGGGUUGCUCAAGGUAUAAUUGAUUUCAUUUCUCGCUCCUUUUCCUUUCCUUCCUUUGCUUUUCUUGCGUUCUUUCCACGCAUUCCUAAGAGAAUUAAGAAAAAAGAAGGAAAGGGAAAUUAGAUCAAAUACGCAGAUUUUGAGAUAUGGAAAAAUCUGUGGUUCAAUAAUUCAACAUCUCUUGUUUUUCUCGGGAACCAAAAGCAUUAGUGGUUCUUUUACUGUUUGAGUUAAGUUACUUGGGCUAUGGAUGUUAAGAUUAGGAUUUUCUGAUUUCAGCGAAGGCAAUUCGGUUUGAUCUGUGGAUAUUUUGUUAUAAUUUCUUUAGAAUAAGGUUUUGAUCUUUCAUUUUUGAACCUAGGAUUCAAUUUUAUUUUUCUUGGAAUCCUUUUGUUUGUAAGUAAAGGGAGGACCAAAAAAUUGUUUUACGUUGUUGGUUAAUUAAAUGAAUCAUGAUCUAUUUCAUGAUUUGAAACUUGAAUAGAUCUAUCAACAAAAAGAAUGGAAAAACCAUUGUUUCUCUUUAGUAUUUUUUUUCCCACUUCACUCUACCAUGGAAUUCUUUGUAUAUUAGCGUUAUGUUGUAGGUACCUGUCGCGAUCAUGUUUGAUACAGGGAUCAUCUCAUGAUUAGGGAAUUGGAAACCAUUGUUUUCCACCUUGCUUUGCCGUGAUGAGAUGUUUGUAAUAUCAGUGUUAUGUUGUAGGUAUCUGCUGCAAUCAUGUUUGAUGCGGGCAUCAUCUCAUGCUUAGAGUUUUUGGAAGCUGUUCCAUGGUCCGAGGAUGAAGAGGAGAAAGUUGUAUCUCAUCUUGGUCAACUUCAGCUUCAUGACUCGGUGGCUGAAGUUCUCCAGAGAGUAUCAGCUGAACCAUCUACAUCUACGAGGCCAGAUGACAUCUUCUUGAGGCUAUUGACAGGUAUUUUACAAGCCAAGGAUGAUAAAGCCCGCCGAGAAAUGAAAACUCUGAUUUCUCGGUUGCUUAGAGAUGAAGCACCCGACAACAGUGAUAGGCAUGAUGUCUCUAAAGAUACCCUCUAUCAUCUAUGUCAUAGAUGUCUGAGUUCCCUUGUCCUUUGCUUAUCUGAAGCUACAUGCACGGAUGAAAGCAUACGGGAUCGAGGGGCUAUAAUGAGUGAGAUAGCUCGUGAAGCUGACAAUAUGCAGUGGAUUGUCAAUAUUCUAAUUGAUAAAAAAAUGGGUGAAGAUUUUGUGAAACUAUGGGCAGAUCAGAAGGAGCUGGCUGUUCUUCAUUCCAAGAUUCCCACCAUGUACAGGCACGAAAUCAGUAAAAUUACUGCACAGCUGUGUAUUGCCAUUGGAAGAGGACAUCUUUUGGUGCCUAAAGAUACCCGUUUCUCUUUGCUAUCCACAUGGUUGGAAGCUCUCUAUGAGGACUUUGCGUGGAUGAGGAGGGCUUGCAGGUCUGUUGACAAGAAAUUAGUUGAGGAUGGGCUGAGCCAGACCAUUCUUACAUUGCCAUUGCCACAGCAACAAGCUAUCUUGUUGACUUGGUUUGAUCGAUUUCUUAAUAAGGGUGAUGACUGUCCCAAUAUUCAGAGAGCGUUUGAGGUUUGGUGGAGAAGAGCCUUCAUCAGACAGUAUGUGUCAGAGCAUGAUAAUUCUCAAUUGCAGAUUACCGUCUGUGAUUAUCCAAACUGAAUGGUCAUUUACCAUGUCAAAUAAUCGAAGCCAAGAUGUACAUAUCAAGUGAGGUUCCUUUUGUAUCUUUUGCUUAAAAUCAUUUGAUUUUUUUUUGGUCAGUUUGAAUCUUUUAGAUAUAGAUCUCCGUGACAAAAAUGAUGUACCAGACAAAGGACUUGGAGAGUGCUGGAAUUUGUAAGGAUGUACCAGACAAAGGACAUGCAUUUGGAGGAAUAUAAUAAGGCGUCUCCCCAAGACGGUCUGAUUAUAAUGAGUUUCUAUUUGAAAAAGAGUUGGUAGGAACAGUGGAGAUUUGCGAGGAUUGGUUCUUCUGAAUAUGCUAUGCCAGGGUGGGGGAGACAGGGAUUGCAUUAUAUGAUUCAGGUAUGACUAAUCUUGUAAUAGAAGGAUGGGCUUGUAUUUUUAGAGGCAUAUUGUGUAGGUAGGGUAAGUCACUCUUCUCCUAAGACCUUGGGAACAAAGGAGGACAUGGUCAUUAUUUCUCUUUCUAUGCUUCUUAAGGAAUGUGUGGUUUUUGUGGGUGGCGUGUUUGAGGUUUCUGUUAAUCUGUCAAAUGUGUCCACAUCGAAUAUAGGUUUGCUCAUCGCCUGUCAGGGGCAAAGGGGAAAAAAGAAAUGUUCGUUUGUUGUCAGAAUAGAAGAUCGUUGGAAUGCACAUUACAACUACCACUACCCAGGGAGGACUCCAACAAUUUCAGGUAUCAAGAACAUUUUGGGUAAGUCUCUUCAAUUUUUUUUCACAUCCUAAUUUCUGGAUUCUGCUACAGCAAUCCCCAUCUUUGAUUAUGAUGCUCUACAAGGUUGGCAUUGAAGUCCUUGAAAUAUCGAGGAUCCUUUUUUCCUUCUUUUUUUACUCUCUCCCCUAAGUUCCAUGUUUCCUUGUACAGAGCUGAGAUACCAGUUGGACCAACAGAUGAGCUGUUGUGUUGUGACCUGGUGUAAAGCCAUAUCCUGAGCAGAAUCAAAUAAAAAGCAAGCAUUCCAUUUUAGUUGAUUGGUUAUUUCUGGGAGGGAGGGGAUAUUUCCCAUAUUUGAUAUAGGUGAAACCAAAUUAAAUUAAAAAUUGAAAUAGGAGUCCACGGGUCCAAAUCCCGUUACACAAAUAGCCAGUAAAAUUGAUGGAUGUGUAAUUGCAGGAAAGCAGGAAAUGCAAUGCUGAAUGCUCCCUAUGAUCCUUUCCUCAAACAAUUAUUACAUUUACUUUGAAUCAAUUUAUAGGGAAGUGUAUUGGCAAAACUGGUUUCAUGGUAAGUGUCAAUUUCAAUGGCCGGGCUUAUCAUCUUUACAAGGCGUGCAAAACCAACUCUCAGCCACCCGCCUCAAAGAACAUCUGUUAUUAUUAUUAUUUUUUUUCAAAAAAAAAAAAAUUCUUUGUUUUCAUCUUGUAUGAUGAGUGAGCUCGCUCUCUGGGACCUCUUCAUUUCUACAACACAUAGAAGGGGCUUGGCUAUAUCAACUUGAUAUGCGUCCAUCCGUGCAAAUGUGCCUUCCUUGGAUCACUUGGUUCCAGCAUAUCAUGGUAGAGGCAGACGAAGCCUGACAUUUCAUAUAAAUAAAAAAAAAGGCAAAUAUGAAGAGACAAGGGUGGGUGAAAAUUCAUUCUAAACUCAAAACAUAAACAGACAAAUGCAUUCUCUCAAAUCUAAUCCAACUGUAAAAGUGGCAAGAUUCACUGGAUAACAUGAAGUUUAAAGAUUAGCAUCCUAUGGCAACUAGCUCUUCAGGACUUAUUUUACAAUGGGCUAUAUACUGCUUUGCACAACAUUCAGCAAAAAAGCUUGUCAAAUAUAGACACAGUUCAUAAUAUGUUUCAGAAUGGACCAUUCUGAAUCAGGAAAAGGCAAGGGAAAGAAAGAAUUUCAUUCUGAAAUGAUCCAGCCUUAAAAUGAAGUUAAAGUUCAUAUGGUCACCAGAUGACAUGAUCCCUUACACUAAUUAACGCUUCAUCCAAUGGAUCGAGUUCAUCAAACUAAUGCUUAAUUAAAGGGAUUUCAUAAGUUAAAAUUUUCAUGUCAAGGUCUGAACUUCCAGUUGUCUUAUGCAUUGAUUAGCAUAUGCAGGAUGAUAAAUAAGCAAUUUUUAUCAAUUCACAAGGUCAAAGCCAUCAUCCUAGCAAGGGAGUAAAGGAAUUCAGAUGGGUGGGGAUGUUAUGGGUUUCAUUUCUAAGUGGCUACACAAGGUUUCUUCAAAGGACCAAGACGCCAUAAAUAAAUAAAUUAUUCAUUCUUACCUUUAUAGUAUGCUCUCUACAUUGACUGCUAAAGCAGAUCCAUCUCAUUGUGAUGAACUGGGAUGACCUGCACAUGUUGGUUCAUAGUCUCGAAAAAGUUCAACUUGAUGAACUUAAGAUAUAAUUGGGUCUAACCCAUAACUCAGCUCUGGAACUUGCUGAAGCCUGCAAGAGGUAAAUACAAUUAGCCAAAACUUCAGGAAGAUCCUUAGAACAGAUUCAGGAAGUGAGAUGCCAGAACAAUUUGUGUAUCAGUGCGCUUGCAAUGUGCUGCACCUGGGAUAUUUACAUGCAUUAAUGUGCAAUUUGUUCUGCAGGUGGUGGUAGAUAUAUGACCGCAUAAAAUAUAUAAUCAUGAACUUGAGUCCUAAUAAAAGCAGAAUUAUGAUAAAAGGAACCUAAAAUGAAAAAGAAAAUGCCAAAUUACAAUCAAAAUAACACAAAAAAAAAAAAGAAUAAAGAAAAUAAGCCCUCAUUGACAAUAGAAUCCUUAAGAUUUUAUUUGGCUAAAAAGAAAGAAAAUACACCCUCAGCAACAAUAGAACCAUUAAAGAGUUAAUUUAGCUAACAAGCAUAAAACAUAAUUGUUCAUUGUCUUGGAAAGUGUGUUAAAUUCCUAUUUAGCACAUGUUCCAUUUGAUAAAAAUAUUAUAUAUAUAUAUAUAUAUAUAUAUAUAUAUAUAUAUAUAUAUAUAUAUAUAUAUAUAUAUAUAUAGUCUGAUAAAAAAUAAAAAAAAGUAAAUAGAAAUAUCUCAAUAAGGGAAAAAGUUGUGAGACGGAGUUAAGCAUAUAAAGUCCAUAUGGAGUAGGUUGAGAUGUGGGGAAGAGUAGAGCUCCCAAGGAGUAGCAUUUGAGUUUGAGGUGUAGAUACUAGGGGCGUGAAAACAUCAUAUGUUCCAACGCUUAGGAAUUUUAUCCAUAUUCUCUUUCUUUAGUAAUUUUUAUUUAUUUUAUUUAUUUUUAUGGUAUAUUGGAUUGAUUUUCUCUUGUCUAUGCACGUAGGCACAGUCGGUUGAAUCAUGUUAUAAUGUCAUCUAACUUUUAUGUGAGUUGGCUUUAUCUUCAUUGUUGUUACAUAACUCAUAAGUUCAAAUUUUCUAUUACCAUAAGAAAUUAGUAUCAAAGCAAGGUAAAGGAUUUGGAAGAACUAAAGAGAAUGCUAUUUAAAUGUAAAGAUGACAUAGAAGAUUGAGAAUGUACAAGAGUAUUGAGAAAUGAAUUUUGUUGAAGGUGGAAUCAAUUGUACUCUCAUUGGUAUGUGAUAAAGAGAGUAUUAUAUAAAAAGAGCAUCAGAAUGAGUGCACCAAAGUACACAGGACAUAUACAACUGCAGUCAAAAGGCACAAGCAAAAAGGAAGAGGGACAACAAAAAACUAUUUCCCCCUUUAAUGAGGACCAAGUUGGGUCUUUCUCUAUAUACAACUUGGUUCAAGAAAACAAAUUACAAAAAAAAAAAAAUCUUUUUAAUCUUUGGUUAGAGAGCUUCUCAUUUUCAAAUGAUCUUCUAUUCCUUUCUUUCCAAAUUCCCAAAAAUGCACAGAGGAACCACUUCCCACCCUUUUUUUUAUUCAUCCAAAGGAGUCACACCAUCCUAAAAGGGACUCUCCAACAAAGGAAGAUAACACCCAAUACAUUCCAAAAAGAGAACAAUAGCUGCCAUGAAGCUCUCAUCUUACCACAAUAUAGAAUCGUCAAUCAAUUCCUUUUGGAUGUGACAAAGGAAACAUCUAUUAAGCAAUGUUCAACCUCUUUUUUGAAGCUGAUGUAAGAUUAAAACUUUUCCCCAAUUUGCCUCCCAAGCAAGGAAAUUUGCUUUAAGCAGAACUAAGGAAUUCCAAACAAUGUCCAUAAGGAAAGAGACACUUAUCUUCAUGACUCUAGGGCAAAGUAAACAGACUCAAUGGAAAAAGUUCCGCUCUUUGUCUCCAACCAAAUCACCUUAUCUUCUCCUCUCCUAUUCUCUGCCUUUCCUUGUAGCCUCGAAAAGAAUUGCUCCACAUUCUUGAUCUCCUAAUCAUUUAGAUGCUUAGAGAAACAAGAUUCCAAAAACCUCCUUCAUAGGACUAAUUCCAUGAAUCCGCCACCCAGGCCUUCUUUUGAAGUUGCUAUGACAGAUAAGGAGAGGAAAGAUACACACAAAAAGGCUUAUCUCUAUACUACUUAUCCUUUCAAAACUUUACCCUUCUCUCAUUGCCCACUAAAAAGGAGACUAUUGUUGACAACAUCCUAAUCCUUCCUGAUGGCUUUCCAUAACCCAACCCUGUACUAGUUUCUCACUUUCCAAGAACACCAGCCCCCUUCAUCUUCCCCUAUAUUUUCCAAUUAUGACUUGCUUCUAGAAAGCCUCCCUUUCAUAUGCAAAACUACUCAUUUAUAUAAUAUAAUAUUUGUUCCUCCCAAAAAUAAUGUAAAAUAAAAACUAUAAGUACCUUUUUUGAAGAACUUCUGGGUAGGGUGGAUUGAUCAAGAAGAUUUUGAAGAUGAUAUGCUUUUGACAUCCUUUUUGCAUGGUUAAUGAGGAGUUGUGUAGAGAAUAACCUGAGUUUUUUCAAUAGCAAAUAUUGUUCUAAGAGCUUAUAUGUGUUCAAACUCUACACACAUGUCGACUGCACAUUAAAAAUGGGUAAGCUACACCCCCACAGGGCAGCACUAUAAUAAAUUUAGGCUAUUGGUCACUCAUAGUAGAGCUUAAACUCAUAGAAAGGUUGGCCCUUAUUAUCCCAUUUCCUUAGGAAUGGUGGGCCGAUUACAAUGACUAGUUUUUUGUAGAUACUGUGCAAUCUAUAUAUUACUUGAGGAACUCGUAUAAGAAAGUGGACCUACUUCAUUUGUGCCCCUAUUCACAAGGGCCACUCACUCACAGAAGAGGGAUAAGAGUAAUGACCCAGUUCUAUACAUGUUUUUGGGCAAUAGCCAAGCUGAAUCCUUGUUCAGUAACACUCAAAAGAGAGAAUUAUGAGUGGGACUAUGAGCUGCUUAGUGAGGAUAAAUAGUUAUGCCUGUUGGAUAGUGCAUAAGAACAAGAAGGCAGCUAUUAGCAGUAAGGAAACCGAUGGCAGGCUCCACCCUAUGGGGUUGGAACUGACAGGACUUAAGAAUCACAGACAUGAAUACUGUUGUGAACCGGACAACCAAAGAUUCGAAACAAUUUUUUAUUUCUAACAGGUUUGCCAGGUAGAUCAGAACCUAAACAGCUUAGGUUCCAUGGUUAGAUAAUGUAACCCAAUAAUAUUUUGGUUGGAUUUUUGGUCAGGUCAGUUUUCAACCAGGCCUGAACACUCUUAGAUGUGCUCAAUUGGCAGCUUUAGCACUAAGCAUAACUAUAUUGCAGAGGCCUCAGUUGGAUAUAUAAACAAUGCAUAUAUGACAAUAUUCACAGUGAGUGCUUUAGAUAUUCAAAAAAUUUUGAGGAAGACAGUGAUAGAAGAAGUAUUGAAACAAGAUUUCAAGGCAUAUAAAACCACUCGAGAGAAACAACAAGUUAUUGAAAUUGACAUCAAAACUAUCCAAGAAAACAUUGAGUGCUUGAAUUGUCAUCUAGCAUACAUACCUCUGUCUAACUUUAAGUAUUCCAGUGCCCAGUUGCAUGGGUAUACCCAUGAUUAUGCAUUCACUUACUCCUUCAAUCUUGUCAUCUCUACCACUUACAGAAGCAUUGAAAAGGUGAUCUGCUGUCUUCUCAAAUGAAGCCAGCAUCAAUACACUUUUGUCCAUUUUUUGAAUGCCAAAUCUUGUGAUUCCUAGAACUUCACCCUAAUAAAACAAACAAUUAAAUGUGAAUAUAAAUAGUCCCCAUGAAUGCACUUUCAAACACCAUAACAGAAUUCAAAAUAUAUGGUUUAAACCUCAGGUCGUAACAUGUAAUACAAUUGAAAGAAAAUAACUCACUCUAAAUGUCAUCAAAUCUGCUAAAAGCAUCAUAUGUCGUAUAUCUAUGCUCAUCCCAUGGCUUGCCAUGGUAUACUGUAUCUCAUUAAUGAUGCACUUUCUUGCAGCUUCAAUUCCAAGUGUCUGCUGCACUUCAAUGAUAUGAUUACUGGUAGUUUCACGUCCAAUAACUCCUUCAGUGCCCAUGACAGUUUGGAGACCUGUGCUGAAAUGAAAAAAAGGACAUGCGAAGAUUUAGUCAUAAAGGCAGGUUGCAGGAUAUAGUGAAACAUCUACUGGUGUGCAGUUCUUGUUUUCCCACAAUAUCUACUGAUAAUAAGGCGACCAUCACCUUCCUGAGUUUCUCUGUGACCCUAGUUUCAAAGAGGUUGAUCUGACCCAAAGGGCAUAUUCUCUGUUAAGUCUAUUCCAAUUUGCAUCCUAAAGUCUCUUUCUUUGUUCCUAUUAACUUGUUUGGAUAGAAUCACCAUAGUUGAUCAGUUUAGUUAGAGAGGGUUGGCUUGAUAGGAGUUGCUGAAUGCUUAGUUUAGGUUUUCAUGGGGUUUUCUAGCUUCUCAGAGAGGUUUACUGGUUUGUGCAUCAAUAAUUGGUUGAAAAGCAAAAAAGCUUGUACGGUUUUCUUAUUUGCAACAGAGAAGCCUUUGAAAGUAAAGAUAUUCAAGAACCCUUUUUUUUAUUAUGUGGAAGGGGUUAUGUUUCUUUUUCUUGGUUUGGUUCAUUUCUAUAGUUUCUAGAAAGGCAUUGAUAGAAAUUCCAUUAUGUUGAUUUCUUGCACCAGAUGCACUUUCUAGUUAGCAGAUGAAGUCAGCUUAGAAUGAAGUUCAGUAGACUAUAUGUUCUAGUUUCUAGGUUUUUCUUCUUCCUUUGCAGGGUUCAUAGUGGGAGGGUUAAGGGCAAGCUCCCCAACAUGGGCUUCCCAAUAAAAUCAUCACUUAUUAGAGGGAAUUGAGAAAAGGGAUAUUAAAAUACCAGUUAAAUAAACCAAUUUUCGUUUAAUUGGUGGGGUUACCCAGAAAAUGAUAAUAUUUUACUUAGCUAUGUGCAUGUGUGCAAAAGUCAGCUGAAUAAAUUAUUUAUGGACAUAAAAAAGCCAAACUUGCUUUUAGAAAGCCUAGACUCAAAACAAAGGCACAUGAGAACAGAAAGAAAAUAGUAGAAUCUGGUUAAGUGGUAUAACAAACUAACCCUUCUACAAGCAAGUUGUACUUUACUUUGUUAUCUUUGUUAAUCACAGCACGUUCAACAGUUUCUAUUCCCUGCCAACCAAAGAUAACCUUGAGAAAGUUACAUAUCUAUUCCAGAUGUUCCAACCAAAAUGAUGGAAAUUUUUUUUGCAGCAUUGCCUUGUGAAUUGAAAUAGAUGACAAAAUCAUAAAAACCCUACAAACCUCACCUUUACAACCACAGUUGGAAGCAAAUUUUUAAGAGCAUGGAGUUCAAAAUGAAUUGUACUUCUAUCACCCUGAGGAUGAACUUCCAACUUUCCAGCAUCCAAAACCUUAAUAUGCUGCAAAUUGACAUCCAAUUGGGAUGUUACUAAACAUAGAAAUAGCAUGUAUGUUUUGAACUAAUAUGGGAUUUUCCCACCUGUUGCUUCAGUUUGAUUCGUCGGUUUCGCAAAAUUGAUUCUCUUACAAUAUUAGAAUCUAUAGACAAUUGUGAAGCCUGAAUUCCUUCCAUGUCAAGUGCGACAGCUAUUAACGCUAGUCUUGAAGUCAAGACAAUCUUUAUACUCUUUGCUACCUGCAGAACAAGAAGAUGGUCAACUUGAAGGGCAAACAAAAUCCUACCUGAUGGGAGAGAGUUGGGUGAAAAACCUACGCUUUUCAUCACACAACAUAUGAACUAGAAAAGAUAUAUUAUUUUCUCAAAAGAUUUUUUAUUGAAUUCGGUUUAAUGAAUAGGAGAAAUAUUAAAAGACCGUCACAAUCACAAAAGAUUAGCUGAAUGGAUGGGACAGUAGCUUGGCAGUAACCAGAUAAGAAACAGGACUGAAUGAUGGAAGCAUCAGAUCACCAAUGAAAGAACAGUACCAAUUAUUUUCAAUGUUUUUGUGUGUAUAAAAUGAAGACUUUGAAUACAAACUUAAUAAGGAAUAGAUAGCCAGAAGUAACUGAAACUAACACAGCAAUUUCCUGAAAGCACCAGCAAUGACCAAUCAACUACUAAUUAGAGAACAACAACAAGUAUUUAAGAGUUUUUAUAUUUUGUAUAGGAAGGAAAACUUCUGACACAAAUUAAAUCAGUAACAUAAAUGUAAUAAGAACAUCUUGAAUGUUGAUCUUUAGAUGGCGAUGGAUAUCAAAAUCCUAUAAAAAUAAUGUACAUACCUGGCCUAAAGUCGUUCUCUCAAUGCGACCUUUAACCAUUCGUGCGGUUUUCACAUUAUUAUUGCACUCAAGAGCUGCAGUGAUGAUGGGUGUGCUAAUUCUUUUGGCUCCAUUUAUUAUUUCUUUGAUACGAGGAACUCCAAGUGUAACAUCUAAUACAGAGUUAAAGUACCACAUUGGUGACCAGAAAAAAAAAAUACAGAAGACUCAAUAGACAAAAGCCCCGGGGAAAAAGGUGCCAAGAGUCUUUCAAUGGUUAAAAGGAUACUCAUGCUUGCAACACCAGCAAAGUGGAAAGUUUUUAAUGUCAUCUGUGUCCCAGGCUCUCCAAUACUAUGAGCUCCAAUUGCACCAAUUGCAGUUCCAGCUUCAAUUCGUUUUAAUUGAUAACGAGAGAUGCAGGUAUCCAGAAAAACCUAGUGCAGAAAUGAUUGAAAACAUAGGUCACAUAUAGUAAUAAGUUUAGAUGUAUAGGAACAAGAUGCAUUGCAAAAACCUUAUAAAUGCUAAUAGAAGUAAAAAACAUUUUCUAGCCAAUGGCAUCUGAACAUGCAUUUUUCAAUAGAAUUUACUUGUUAAAUUACUCAUUCAUCAAAUUUUAAUUUGAGUGCAAUUUCAAUAGGCAAAAGCACUCUCUAAUUAAACUUGACUGAUGCUCCCAGCUUUUCCUUGGUACAUCAUUGUCAACCAAAUAAAAAAUGGGAGAUGAAGUGUGCCAAAAGGCCAUGUGAGGAGGGUUUUGAUUUGUUUACUCAUCACAAGUCACUCUCAAAGCAUUUCCAAAUUUGGAAGAAUUUAAUCUUCCCAUUUCUCCUGUCUUAGAUCACCCCCAGUCUUUUCCUGGAACUCUGUUCUUCAACAUCAUUUGUCAUAUCAACAAGUUGAUAAUUUAUCUUCUCUUUUACCCUUUGUCUAUGGCAUAUCUCUCCAUUACUUCUUGAUUCGAGGGUUUGGAUUCUGGUUCAUUCCAGUAUAUUUUCAUCGAAGUCAUUGUAUCAGGUCCUUUUUAUGAAUAAGUCAUUAGUUGUAUUUCCUCAGCUAGAUUCAUUUGCAAGUCUGAGGUUCUCCCACAAGUAUGUGUCACUAAAAAGAUUAAUACUAGUGAUUUUUUUUUUUUACAUGUAAGGAGACCCUUCAAAACCCUUAAUCUUGAGUAUUGUGUUCUCUGCUUAGAGAAUAGCAAAACAGUGGAUCAUCCAUUUCUACAUUGUCCUAUGGCAUGGAAUUUAUUUUAUUGAUAAGCAAUGAAAUAUGUAUAUAUAUGAAGCACAGGCGGUUUACAGCAGGCACAAAGUGGAAAAUCCACAAAUGAGAGACCAAAAACCACUCUCUCUCUCUCUCUCUCUCUCUCUCUCUAACUGUGAUCCUAAUCAAUCUAGAAAAUCAAACAAAAGGCACUGAGCCUUCUUUUAUAUACAUCCCAACCCAAGCUAAUAGAUUGCUAAGGAACAACCAUUUCAACCUAUUCUCAGACAGCUACUCAUUUCGAAAUGCUCUGCGGUUUCUCUCCUUUCUUAAAAGUCCAAAAAAUGCAUAGAGAAGCUGCUUGUCAAACUUUCUUCUGUUUUCUCCCUACAAAGAGCCUUGCCCGCUUAAAAAAAGAGUUUCUCUGAUUGUGGAAGGAAGCACCCAAUGAAGAAGAAUGCAGUCUACUGAUUCCCCUUUGAUUUUGCAUAGAUAGCAUGUAUUCAUCGAUGGCCAUCCUCAUCUUUGAAGUUGAUCCAACGUCAACACUUUUCCACAAUUGGCUUCCCAAGGAAAAGAAACUCUCGUUAGUCAAGACCUAAGCAAAAAACCACUCCCUCACUUUAGUCCUAUGGCAUGGAAUUUAUGGAAUAGAUUAUACUUGGAGGUGGAAUUGUCUUGAGUUCCCUUUAGAAUUGUUGCAAAUAUGAUACUCAUGCUUUUAUAGGCCAUGGGAGGAGUCUUAGAGUACUUUAGCAAGGAUGCAUGCCUAAUAUUCUCUAAGUGAUUUGGUUAGAGAGGAACAUUAGGAUUUUUUAGGACACAUAAUCACUUAAGUCAUUGUGCAUUGCCAUUUAUCAUUCCACUACUUUCUGAUUUUCAGUUUCAACAGAAUUCUUAGAUAUUCUUGUGGGCAUGAUUAUGUUGGAUGGAACUAGGGCGAGCAAUCGGCACACUAGUUACAAGAAUGAUUUUGGAGAUAGUGCAGUAUGGGAAUCCCCCAUUUCAGCAUGUCUCCAAGAGAGUGAGCUUUGUUGCUAAAGACAUUAUUGGUGGCUCACUCCCUAAGUAUUUAUCUGGGUCUAUGGUCCUUGCAGGUACCAAUGGUGACAUAGCCUAACUUCUUUUGUGCGAUGCUUUAAUACCUUUUUGUUUUGUUUUUUUUUUUUUUGGAUAGGCAAAAGUGAGAAUAUAUUAAAAGCUCAAAGGGCGCAUCAACGUACACACGAAGUAUACAAAGUUGCACCACGACAAAAGAACAAUCAGAACAACAAGGAAAAACAACCAAAUCCAACUCCUAACACCCCAUAGAACCAAUUUUCCCUGGUCUUUCUCAAACCCCUUACAAACCACCCCACUUAUAGACCCAAUUUGAACACCUUAUUGAAAAAAAAAUUGGUCCCCAAUGCUCCUCCCUUUGCCCCUAGAUACCGAGCGAGACCUAGAGAACUGAGACGAUGCUUUUGGCUUCAUCUCCCCCCCAAUGCCUUGCCUUCAUUCCCUCUCCUUGCAUCCCUCUUCCUCAACAAGGAAAUGAUCUCGUUUUCAAAACCCACCAUUGGCAUUCCCAAAAAGCUACUGAACCUAGUUAGCUUAUCAAAAAGAUAUUCCGAAGGGAAUACCUACACCAUGGAGCAAUUGCUUGACUUUAUCUUGGAAGAGUUUGACUCCCCACAACUGGAAAUGAUGUCUUUGCAUAAAAAACCUGCCUCGACAUUUUGUGGAAACUCCAACAAAGAACCAUCCUUCAACAUUAUCUUAAGUGGAUGACUUCCAUCUCCCAAAUCCCCACUAGGAUGUCCCUCUUUUAUCUACGAAACUCGAUCCCAUCCACAACCUUCACCCACAAGUUGAUUUAGAAUUCUAAAUCCAUCAUCUAACCAUCUAGCCUUUGCAACCAAAGAUGAAGGAGGGAGCAGCUCUCCUCCCAGAGAAACAUCUCUCUUACCUUCGAACCUAGCUGCUUUAGCCAACAGAGCAUCCUUAGUUCCCAAAGAUCUCUCCUCUAGACUCCGAAACCACUCUUUUGUAAUGGGAUCUACACAAAUCUCCUCAAUGCUCUCUUUCUCNNNNNNNNNNNNNNNNNNNNNNNNNNNNNNNNNNNNNNNNNNNNNNNNNNNNNNNNNNNNNNNNNNNNNNNNNNNNNNNNNNNNNNNNNNNNNNNNNNNNCCCCUAAUAUCUGAGAAUGUUGAAGCCCUUUCUCUCAGAUGGCUCUAUCCAAAGCCCUAGAACCAACCUUAGCCUGCCCACCAAAGAUUUUAUCAAGACUGAGCCUUAACUUAAUAUCUUUAGGCUAGCCUAAUGGAAAACCUUUUGCAGACCAUUUAGGAUGAUAACUUGUCAUACUUAGGCCUCCUUUAAGUUUGAGAACCUGGGCUGGUAUAGGGCCAUACUCAUCACAUGGGCCCCUUUUUUUAACUUCAAAUAAAAGGCCCAUUGUCCCAAUAGCCAUAUCAAGGCUUUUUUAUGGCACCUUUCCCACCGUACCCAAUACACUGCAACCGCCAUGUCCAGCAAAUGCAGUCUCCAUCAUUAAGUGUGUAGGGAGGGUAGGCUCAUCAAAGGAUGCUUGUAAACCCUCGUCUAUACGCUUCUCUUCUUCACUUUCCACUUUCCCACUUGUGGGUGAGAGAUCCUCACCCUCAUCACCAACCUUUAGAGCUUUGCCCUUCCCCAUGGAGACCACUGUAAAAAACCAAGGUGCAAAGUCCCACCAUAGCUGGAUUUCAAAGACUUCUACCCCAACCACUACAUGCAACCUUUCUUUUUUGAACCAAAACAAGGCUACAAAAAGAAAGAAAAAACCUAGAGAGAUAAAAGCUAGACACCAUGCCAAUCACCCAAAAAAUUCAUAUUAAUGGAUAAUCUAAAUCCAAAAACUAUUGAGACCACUCUAGAAGAGAAUGGAAAAGGAGGUUCCACAAACAUUGGUCUAACAACUCUUCCUCUUGGAAUGUUCUUCGGUUUCGCUCUCCCCAAAUAUACUAAAAAAGACAAAUAGGCGUCAAUCUCCAAACUGUUUUCCUCUUCUUCCCUAACCUCAUAAUUUUCCAUUUCAGAAGCCCAUUUCUCACUAAAGCCGGGAACACCCACACCAGUCCAACAGAUGAUAGCAACAAAGUCCAUAGCUCCCUUAUCUUACCACAAUGAAUCAAAAUGUGGUCUGCCAAUUCCUCACAAGAAUCCUCUUUCCUGUUGGAUUUCACAAGAAUCCUCGUCCACUACAGCAUCUGCCUCUCUCUCAUCUCCUCAUCAACAACUAAAAAGCCUCUGCAAACAUCGCUAAACUUCUUGAAAAAUUCUUCUCCCCAUAAAUGCAAAGGUAACCCUAGCACUCUAACACAAUGCUCAACCCUGAGACAACCUACAUCAGGCUUCCACCAAUCCAAUUGCACCUCUUUCCCCUCAAAACAACAAUUACCCAAAAGCCAAACCUUUUUUGCUUUAGAAACAUUAUCAAACUCAAAAACAUAUUAGAAAGUUCCCUAACAAGGAGAGAUGAAGAUAACCUCUCUCACCUUCCACGAGUAUCUAACCCAAUCUUUGAGAGAACCCAAAUCCCUUAUCUGGACUGGACCGUCCCCCCAUCUCCCCACCAAGCACUUUUUGAGGAGCUUUGAAUUUCUGAACACCCUCCUUCGACUCACCCUGAACCUAGACCGACUUCCCUAUCACUUUUUUUUCCUCUACUCACCACUUUUGCAAAGGACUUACCCUCGGGGGAGCUUCUCUUCCACUACCAUCCACCAAAAGACAGGCAUGCUCCUUGGAUGACUGUGCCUUCUUGAACUCCAGGACAACACCAAUUUCCCUCAGUUUAGAGGCAAGGGUCUUCCACCCCCCCAGACCAUCGCUUCCUUCAAGAAAUACUAAGGAGAAACCUUUUUACUCCAAAGACAACACAGAGCACAAUAGGAAUCUCCCUCCCUUGUUGCUACGAAGACCCAGCUUGUAGCCCCUACCACCUUCAUUUCAACCCAUGAAGAAGGAAUUUCCAGACUGUCCUACACAACAGGCCUCAACCCCUUCCUGCAACUGAGCUAGCCCCCUCUCACCAAACCUACUCUAAGAGGAAAACCCCGCCCUCUCUUCACUAUCUUACCCACCAUCUUCCUUUGACUUGCUCCAUCAAAAUCUCAAAAGAUUUUGACUCGACUCCAAACCAGCAACUUCCCCUUUGCGAAGCCAUCACUGAAACUACCCUAAGAUUCUCUGUGAUGCUUUGAUACCUUGCUUGUAAAAUUUCUUUUUUCUUGUCUUGAAGGAUAGCUUGUCCUUCCUGUAUCCUGCAUUUCUUUCUAUAAUUUAAUAAAUCAUUUGUUCUAAAAAUAUAAUUCAAAAUAAUUAAUAGACAUCAUCAAUUCCACAUGAUUUUUGCUACCUAUCUACCUAAUGGAGCCUGCUAGUUUAACUUGUAGAUGUGAGUGGUCAGUGUUCACAUGCUACAGUCGAAAGAGGCUCCAAGAAUCUGGCUCCUAUUGGCAAAAACUUAAGUACAAUUUUUCGUGUGGGUCCCUAAAAAGGGGUAAAGGAGAGGAUACUAACUGGGACACCCAUCUGUUUGGCAGGGAAUUCAUACAAGCUCUUGCCAAGAUUAUUCCUAAUAGAUUAAGGUGAUUUGGCUGAAAGGUUUUGGAAUUUUCAAUGGGUUUAAAAGAAUCCAAGAUAUUAUUGUCAUCGUGAAAAGCUAUCGAUUCCAGGUUUCAGAGCUUUAGAUCAGAUGUGGUGUGUAAGUUGGAAAUAGAAAAAGCUUAUGAAAAUGUUCAAAGGAAUUUCUUGUCUCUUUGAACAGAGAGGAUGGACUCUGAGCAAAGGUGGGAUUGCUUGGAUCAAAUUCAUCUUACUGUUAGAUUUUCCAUCUUGGUUGACAGGAGAUCCCUCAGGUUUCUGGUUAUAAUGCCCCAGGUACAUAAAAGAAAAACAAAAUUACUUUAGGGAUACUUCUACGUUGUACCUUAAAGUUAUGUAAAUAGCGAAUAUAACAAAAUAAUCGCAAUCUUCCAUCAUGUUCAAAACUAAAAUAUGUGAUAGAAGACAGAAUUUAGAAAAAGAAAAUUGCAAAUUUUUUAAAAUAAUGAAUGCAACAAAAUGAUCACAAUCUUCCAUCAUGUUCAAAACUAAAAUACGUUAUAGAAGACAAAGAAUUUAGAAGAAGAAGAUUGCAAAUUGUUAGUGUACUUGGAUAAAAAGACCAUUAAAGCAUCAACAAAUGAGGGAAAAGGAUAGAGAAAAUGUGUCAUUAGGAAAUAUCAUUGAAUACCUGCAACUGUUUGGAAGUAAUACCAGAUAUAUUUUUGGCAAAUUUUUCUUGGAUAUCUAAAUUUUCUUCCCCAACAUGCUCUCCAUGUAAUCCAAGUGCCUCCCUCGUGUUUUUAAAUUUUUCUUUACAUUCUUCAAGGAAACCUGAUAGAUUGGUCUUGAAGGCAUCAGAACAACCCUCAGCAGAUGUAUUAUGUUCUUUGAGCCUUUUCACAGUCUCCUCAAUUUGUAAAGCAGAUAAACUUGCAUUUUCUCCUGCGGGACAUGUAGCCUGUACAAGGACAAUAUUCAACUAAAUGUAUUGUUCAACUUCGCAAAAACUUGUGUGCCAAAAAAACAAACUACUGAAGGCACCAGGUUCAGACCUUCACUUUCAAAAACAAUCUAUUAAAAUUCAAAGGAAAGCCGUCUUUUCCUUCCAUCCUUGCUGGAUCCAUACCAUCAUCUCCAUAAAGAAAUUGAACUAUGCUUCCAUUGGCAUUUCGUACUGUUUCAUCAUACUGAAUGGACAGGUCCUCUAAUGCUUUCAUUAAUCUACGAGACAUGUACCCGGUGUCAGCUGUUUUUACCUACAGUAAUGACAAUAAUCAAAUAAGCAUAUGAUUCAAGGGUUAAGUGCUACUAAACCUUAAUGAUUAACAAAGGGACUAGAUGUUAUCAUGAUGUAGAAAACGAUGUAUUUACAGAAACUACUAUGUAGAUAUUUUGCUUUUAUACUUCAUGCAGAGAAUGCCAGGGAAAAAAAAAGUAAAAAAAGAUAAGAACAUUAAAAAGUACAAUCAGUUAUUUCAGCAGUUGAGAAAUUCAAUCUCAAUGUGAGAAUUAAGAAACUGAAUAAAGCCUCACAAGUAAAAACAUUGGAACCUUCAGAGUAUGACCUGGUGAAAGCAAUAAUGUUUUUUUGCCAUCAUUCCAAGUUCAUGAAAGAGGAGGAUAAAACAUUUUUCCUUUGCUUGGGAGACAAUGUGGCAUGAGGUUGAACAAGCCUUCAAAUAUAGAUGAUUUUUCUGGUCUCCUGUUACCAGUCUUUAAACAAAAUAAAUUUUCCAUUAUUUUUUCAAUUAAAGUAAAAACUUUUGAGAUUGGAGUUGAUACUAAGAAGAGGAAGAAUGGAGAAAAAGAAGGUACAGAAAGAUUUAGAUCAUCCAACUAAAUUCCCAUACGUUCUCAUUUAUUUAAAUGUUAACCAAGAUUACAAUAAUACCUCUAGUGGCUUCUGAGAUUUUCAAAUCUAACACUUCAACAUGCACUAAGGAAGCACUUUUGUAUCGAUGCCGUAUAAAAAUUUUAUUAACUCAUACAAUUUACUAUUUCUUUUUAUUAGGCAAGUAAGAUAACAUCAUUAAAGAAGUGGCUAACAAAAGAAAGGAGCACAAAGCUAAAAAGCAAGAUAUGUAUAAGAGCAACACAAGGUGAAAAAGAUAGUAUCAUUAAGUGUCCACAGAGUUUAUAAAUUGCUUUUUCUGCCAUUUGUCUAUGCAUAUAGUCUUAAUUUUUGUGGACCAACAUACAUAUUUACUUUUGGAUCAGCAAUUAUACAUCUUGGAAGGAUUAUUCGUCCUUCCUUUGUGUUUACCAUACAAUAAAUGAACAUGUUUGUUUCCAAUAAAUAAAUAAAGGAGAGCAAGAAGAAAUCCAGGCACCUCCUUAACUCCUACCAAGCUAUCAAUAAAAUCAAACAAAAGGAGAAAAACUAAGGGAACCCUUGACCACAAAAAUAAAUAAAUAAAUAAAAGAUUUGACGAAAAACUUUUCCAACUUCUAAUCCACCGUUCUAUUUCCUAAAAGAUUUUGUUAUUGCACUCUCUCCAAAUAUGCCAAAAUAAGCCAAUAGAAGCCAACAUUUGCACCUUCUUACAUCUCUUACCCACAAAGCAUCCAUGCCACCCCAACAAUUUUCUGAUUGACCAAGGGAAAACUCAUGAAAGAGCUAAGGUGAGCAAAAUUUUCCACAACAAGGAGCCAAAUCAUAUAAUGGGUAAGAAUAUGAUUUUGCGACUCCUCCAUAGCAUUCCAUAGGCAGCCACCAUUACCAAAGAACAACCUUUUGCCAGGAGUUGACCACAAGUAAAGAUCUUCUCCCAAAGAAUACAAUUGAAGAGGCGCUCUUGAGCUCCUCACAUCCUUAGCAAACUGGAAUAGAUAAUAAGGACAAGUAUAAGGACUUCAAACAAAGCCGUUGUUCUCCAUCCUCUCUAGCAACAAGUACUACUAUUGAAUGAAUGAACUGAAAGAAAAAGCCAACCAACACAAGCUCCAAAUCAUGGAAUGAGCAUAAAAGAUUCCAAUGGCCUUGCCAAUGCCCUCCAAUUCCGUGCGAUCACAUUUAAGGGAAGAAAGUCUAAACAUAAAAUGGAAGCCAUUCUUAAGGGAAGACCCCCCACCAUCUUGUGUAAUAAAACAUAAACUUGGUCUUAAGACUGUGCCCUACUAAAAUGCUGAUUCUAAGCUAGACAUGCUCCCAAUCUUUUCCUUUCUAAUACCUUUCCACACACACACACACACACACACACACACAAACUUCCUUUGAGCACCUUUGAGCAUUAAUUUCUGUCCAACUCCCUAAUUUGUCAAAGAAAACCCACCUCCAUGAAUCCUCUUGCUCAAUUCUAACCACCACAAACACAUUCUUAGGAAGGCCUUGUCAAGAGUUGAAAGAAUUCCUACCCCUAAAUCACCUACACCUUUAUCCAAAUAAAUGAUGUCUCUCUUCACUAAAUGCAGUUUCCUACCCAAGUUCCAACCAGCCCCAAAGAAAGUGCAUCUUAAUCUUCUCCAACAGAAACCCCACUGCUCUAGGAAUCACCAAGAACGCAUGAACAAAUCAAUACACUAGAAAGGAUACUUUCAAUAAGUGUAAAGGUUCUCCUUUAGACAUGCAUUGCCUUUUCUAGGAAGCAAGCCUUCUUUUAAUCCUUUCCUCCAUGAGUUCCCACAAUGAACAUGGCUUAAAAAGGAGCACCAAAAGAAGGUCCAAACACUUAAUGUGGAUAACAUCCCUACCAUGUGAACCAGAAAAGUUCCCACAAUGAACAUGGCUUAAAAAGGAGCACCAAAAGAAGGCUUAAACACUUAAUGCGGAUAACAUCCCUACCAUGUGACCCAGAAAAAUGACAUUGUAGAUUAAUUUUGGCCAAACACCAUCUCAAAGAAAAGAAUGCUUGUUACACCAAGUCUAAUAAUUGCUCACACCAAGCCUCACGAAAAGGAAGCUUGUCAAAGAGAAGAUAAGAAACCUCUACCACUUCUCCCCAUUCAAUGCUAGGAAACUCCCCUGCAUGGUCCUAGAGAGUAACUAAAUUAAUGCUUCCAUGACCACUACAAAUGUAUAGGAGAAAGGGGGUAUCCCUGCCUCAAACCCCUCAACCUUUGGGAAGGUCAUCAUAGAGUCCUAUUUAUCAAGACAAAAAAUAUGACUGAUGAGAUGCACAAUUCAAUCCACCCAACCAUCCUUUAUCUAGCAGCUUGUCACCUCCAAAAUACUACAUCAAGCAAUGUUCACAAUAAUAAUUUACCAACACAAUAUAUGCCAUAUAAAACUAGUUGUUUUUAAAUAGCUGAUGGUACAAAAACCUAAGUAAAUUUUGGGAAAAUUUUUUGACUUUGUCAAUUGCAUUAACACUCCAUAAGCUAGCAACAACAAAGUCACUAGAAAGGACUAACAUCAAUGGAAUUUGGACCUGAUAUGGAGGCCCAGAUAAAAAUGAAGGGAAUCCAAUCCAAGGAAAAAAGAAAAAAAACUGUUACAAUUAAAAAAGAAAAAGAAAAAGAAAAAAGAAGAGUCAUGAAAAUAACUACAGCAUAUUAUUUUGAGUCAACAAGUCGGAAAUCUGACAUAAGUCGAAAGGUCAAUCUAAAGUUUCAACCACCAUCUUCUAAAAUUGCAGAAUUAGUUAAAAGAAAUUUCAGACUAUGGCUCGAGUAAAAAUGUAGGUGACAAAUCACCAAUUGAAAACCACUUCCUAAAAUUAAUUCCACUAACGAGAAAAUCCAGCAUUCAUGUCUAAAGCACCUUUUGUUCAGAGGUAGUAAAAACUAAAUUAAUAUGUGCCGGAGGUGAUGAACCCUGAUUUGAAUACUCUGCUGAUGAAUGCCACCUAUGUGUGGGUAGUUUUUAUGAUAUUUGCAUUCCCUUGAAUCACCACAUGAUUGUAUAACAGCAUUUUCAAAUAUUUAUUUAAAAAAUGCACAUUAAUUUAUAUGUUUCUCAAUAUUUUUGCUGAUGGUGCCAUAUAGCUUUUCUGGCUCAAUUAUCAAAACUUCCUUUAUGAAUGAGGACUUGAGCCUGAGUGAAGGUUAAGAAAUCAGUCCAUGUAAGGUAAAAGCUUCACAUCCUCAGUUUCCCAACCAUGCUACAAUUUGCCUUCAGUCAACAAGCUGAUCAAGAAAUAUUUAGUUUUCAUGUCCAACAGAUUGAUCUCCAGUUCCAAGAUCAACUCAAGUUCAAGCAUUCAACGAGACAAAGCUCCAAUACCAACAACUUGGAUCAGCUACAUUGAUCCUUUUUUGCCACUCAGCUUAAUCUAGAGCUAUAGCCUCCAUCAAAUCUUUAGCAAUCAUUUUUUUUUUUUGUUUUUUUGUUUUAAUCAAUAAAGACUGAAAUCAAAUCUUUAGCAAUCAUGUCUAUCCACAGUACCCCUAUCCAUGUCCUUGGUGGCCUCCCACUUCCCUUUUGUCCUUAUGGUUAUAUUACAUGAAUUGAAUAAGAAUUUGAGGACUUAUAGUCCUCCCUGAACAGGGAGAAUGAUGUGAUAUGUGUGUGCAAAUCUAAAUGGGUGUUCUUGCCCUUGAAGUUUUAUUUAAACCUCAUGUGUUCUCUUUCAUGAUUCAUUUAUCAUUUACAAGCCCUCAGAUUAAAAAUAAACGAGGGGCUGAGUUCACACUAUUUUCAGCACAUGCCAAGGAUCUACUUUGUUCUUUAUUCAAUCUGCAGAACUAAGAGCAGGUCUAUUGACUAUCUAGAUAGCCUUGCUUUGAUGCACCCUACAACAUUUUUGGAAUCCUAUUGUUUUUUGAGGAGGCCUAUCCUUCUUUAAACUGCAUUCCUUUCAAUACCUCUUAUGUCUAAUGAAUCUCAUGGUUCACAGCUACCCUUUUUUCAAUCUCUUCUUCCUAUUGUGUAAAUUGUUGAUUAAUUGGUAUGACCAUUGAGCGACCUUUUUACUGCUUUCUAUUAUUCUAAUAGAUUUUUCUUUCUAAUUGUUUGAUUGUUGGUAUCAGCUAUAACCAUAUCAAAAAGAUAAAAAAAAAAAAAAUUAAAACUUUGCUUUAUCUUCUGAAUCUGAAUCAACUUUUCCUUGUUUUUGGAAAUAACUUAGGUCGUUUAAAUAAACUAUGAUGAUUCUAAAGCAAAUUGAUUGACUAAAUUCAAACAAUGACCAAUUUCUUAUUGAUAACUGCAUUGAUUAAUGCACCUUAAUUCCAUACUCAUCAAAAGCUUUUAAUACUGAAGAUGACAUCUAGAUUUUCUAACAUACAUUACAUUUUAAACUGAUGAGAUUCCCUACUGACAGAUUUCAUUUGAGAGAUAUUAACCCAUAAGAUAGGUGCACUUCAUUCUCAAACAUAAACAUUAAUUGUAUUAAUGGACAUGUCAUUAAUUGAUCUGUAAUAUAUUUGCAACUUGGGCUAAAUUUUUGGUAAGUAAAAAAGGUAAAACAUCUAUAAAAAAAAAGAAAGAUUAAAUAUUAAUUUUAGGUUAAGUAUAUGCUUAAUAUAUAUGAUGUACACACUUAAAAAAAUUAAGUAAUAGCUAAAUAAGGUGAAGAGAGUCUAAUAUACCGCCGUAUCAACAAGACCUUCUCGUCCUCCCAUUGUAUGAAAGAAAAACUCUGUAGCUGUCAAACCAGUAUAGAAUGAACUGGCAACAAAACCUUUAGCCUGCAUUAAGAUUACAACAUUCCAUUAAAUGCUUUUGAAAGUUCAUAGCUAUCAAUAGGCAGUCAGUGCAUUAAUCAUUUGGAUACAUAACAAAGAUCUGAAUGAAUAAUACAUGCACAUCUUUUAUUGAUUGGUACAAAUAGCAUUUUCUUUUUUCGAUAAGGAAAAGUAUUGUAUUAUGAAGAGAUGCUAAAAUAGCGACUCAAAAUAUACAGAAUAGAAAGGGAAACACUCACCCCCUAACAUUUGAAACAAAAAACUAUCCACAAAAAUAUACAAAAAACAACCCCAUCCCUUGAUGGGAACUCACCCAAUCAAUGAACUCAAAAAAGGUUGUUGUACCAUCUUUUAUAAACAAUUUAGUCUCCGAUCAAAGUGGGCUACGAAAAUAAGUUUUUAGUCUUUGGAUGGACAACAUAUUAUCUUCAAAGGCGAUUCUAUUCCUUGUCUUCCAAACUAUCCAAAAAAUGUAAAGAGGACCCAUUCUCCAAAUUGUCUUGCAUUUUUUUCCCACAAAGAAUCCAUUCCAACCCAAGAGGUUUUCCCUAACCGAAGAAGGAAACACCUAAGACACUAAAAAGAGUGAAAAACAUCUCCCACGAUGCCCUAGUAUUUUCACAAUGGAGAAGGAGGUGGUUAAUGGAUUCCUCAUCCGCUUGACAAAAAUAACAUCUAUUUGCUAAGGCCCAUCCCCUCUUUUUAACUUGGUCCAAGGUUAAAACUUUGCCCCAUGAUGCCUCCCAAGUAAAGAAGCUUACUUUUGGUUGCACACACGAUUUCCAAAUGAUCUUCAUUGGAAACAAAACUGAAGAGCCUGGCUUUAAGACUUUGUAAAAUGACUUUGUCGAGAAAGUUCUAUCCUUUGUUUCCAUCCACCGCACCCUAUCCUCAUCCUCCAAGAUCACUUUCUAACCACACAAGCGUAACAAAAGGCCCUCCAUCUCAUCCAUCUCCUAAUCAUUAAAGACCUAGUGAAGCAAGGACUCCAACUCCUCCUCCUAAUCCAAACAUCCUUCACCCAAGUUGUUAUGGGAUCAGCUCGGGCAAAUAAGGAAGGGAAAGAAGCACACAAAGGUGUAGCCCCACACCAAAUAUCCUUUCAAAAACUCACCAUUUGACCGUUCCCUACCACAAAGGAGAGUCUAUUGCUAACAAUGUGUCCAAGCUUCCUAAUUGCUUUCCACAAUCCUACACCAUACCCCUCUCUUACGUCCCGAGAACACCACCUUCCUUGUUCCUCCCCAUAUAUCCCCCUAAUUACUUGGUUCCAUAAAGCCCCUUUCUUAUUCGCAAAGAGCCAACUCCAUUUGCAAAGGAGGGCCUUGUUGAGCGUAGAAAUGCUCUUGACCCCCAAACCCCCUUUUCUCUUAUCAAGGCACACUAUUGCCCAUCUUACUAAGUGAGGUCUCCGGCCUAGGUGGCCCCACUUCCCCACAGGAAAUUUCUCUGAAUCUACUUCAGCCUUAAUUUGACCCCCCUUGGCAAUUGUAGAAUAGACAUGAAGUAAAUAGGCAAGCUGGACAAUGUGCUUCUAAUCAAAGUAAUUCUCCAUCCCUUAGAAAUAUAUUGACAUUUCCACAUAGCCAAUCUCUUACGGAAUCUCUUCUCCACUCCAUCCCAAGUUGCCACAGACUUGAAGGGUGCAUCCAACAACAUCCCCAAGUAAAUGGAAAGUAAACUUUCCACCUUACAAUCAAGCUCAGAAGCAAACUCCUCCACAUUCUCCACAUUGCCUAUUGGGAUCAACUCACUUUUAUCCAAGUUAACUUUCAGCCCUGAUAUAGCCUUAAACCACAUAAGUAACCAACUCAAAAAGGUCACUUAGUCCUUGUUGGCCUUGCAAAAAACCAAAGUAUCAUCAACAAACAACAAAUGGGAGAUUUUAACCUCUUCACCCCUUUCUCCUCCUUGCCUUAGACCCCUAGAACUUUGAAAAAAUCCCAAAGAAGUGUCAUUAACCAGAAUUGAAAAACUAGCAGUGGACACACACCACUUUAUCCACUUCUCCCCAAAACCCACCUUCUCCAGAACCAAGAACAAGAAAAGUCACUUCACAUGAUCAUACGCCUUCUCAAUAUCUAGCUUGCAAAGAAUUGCUCCACCCUUACUCUUCAAAAUCGAAUCAAUGGUUUCAUUGGCAAUAAGCAUUGUAUCCACAAUUUGCCUACCUUCUACAAAUACAUUUUGGGUGUUGGAAAUCACCUUAGCUAACACUAGCUUUAAUCUAUUAGCCAACACCUUAGCCAACCACUUAUACAGCGGCCCCCCUCUCCCCCCCCAAACAGGAUAAUAGGCCUGAAAUCCCUCAAGUCCUCCACAUCCCUUUUCUUCGGGAUCAGCACUAAGAAAGUUGCAUUCAAACUCGGAACAAAACAACCAUCUUCAUAAAUUUCCCUAAAAAAAUUCAUCACCUCAUCCUUAAUGAACUCCCGUGAAAACUGCUAGAAAGCCAUGGAGAAACCAUCCAGGCUUGAUGCUUUGUCUCUACUAAAAUCCAAUAAUGCGUUACAAAUAUCCUCCUCUAUAAAAGGUUUCUCCAGCCCUUCCGCCUUCAGAGCUUCCAACCUUUCAAAAGGCGGACCACUUAAGUUGGGUCUACACUCACCACUAGCUAAGAGCAACUUCUAGAAAGCUUUACCCACUUCUUCCUUAAUAUCAUUGUCCUCAAUGAUCCACGUUCCAUUAAUUUUGACUCAAGCCAUCUGGUUCCUUCUUUUGUGUGCAUUAACCAUUCAAUGGAAAAAACUUGUGUUUCUAUCCUCCUCCUUCAGCUAGAUUUCCCUUGAUUUUUGUCUCCAAGACGUCUCUUCUAAAUUGUAAUUCUCCCAAGCUUCCCUCCUAGAUUCCUUCUUUUCCAAAGACAGUGAACCACAACUCUACACUUCAUCCCGAAAAUUCACAAAGUUUAAGGCCAAAACCUCCUGAACUUCAAUCUUCCCAAACACUUCCUUGUUCCAACUUCUCAAAAUAGGUUUAAAAGCUUUCAUUUUUUCAGCUAGAAUCAAGCUAGCAGACCCACUAAAAUUAAGCCCCUCCCACCACAAUCUCAGAACAUCUUUAAAACCCUCCUCUUUCAACCACAUAUUUUCAAAUCUAAAAGGAGUAGGACCUCUCCUCACCCCUCCCCCAUCAAGAAGAAUUGGACAAUGGCCGGACACCAGUUUAGGAAGGACACACUGGACUGCUCCAGGAAAAGCAACCUCCUAGUCAUCAAAGAUUAGGAACCGAUCAAUUCUAGACUUAGAUCGAUUACUUAAACUGCCACUUCAAGUAAACUGACAUCCCUGAAAGGGAAAAUCCCUCAAUUCUAAGUCCUCAAUUACCUCUAAUAAUCUCCUCAUGGCAGGGGACAAACUACCACCUCUACUACACUCCAAAGGGUAUCUACUCCUGUUACAAUCACUUACCACACACCAGGGAUCACUCCAUAAUCCUUUAAUAACCCCCAGUUCUCCCCAAAAACCUUCCCUAUCCUUCUUUAGUGUGGGUCCAUAAACCCCAGUGAAGCUCCAACAGAAACCAUCUUCACAGUUCUAGAAAUGACAAGAAACUGAGAAAGUUCCCAUUUCCAUCUCCAAACACUGUAACACCUUGCUAUCAUCCCACCCCCACAAAAGGGGGGUAUACAAGAAAAUCAUAUAGAAAGCUAAACGACAAAGAAAAAGGACUAUGAAAACCAGAGUCUUCCUCCAAUCAAUAGACCCUGAGCUGUCUAAAAAAUUCUGAAAGGAACUAAUUCUUCCUCUAUCAGCCUUCAAUGCUCACACAUAGAGUGACAGGAAGGGAACCUCCUUAAACUUCACUAUUGAGACCUCAGCACCCUCAACUAUCCUCUUAUUCCCCUCUCUAUAUACACCACGACACACAGAAAGAUGCUAUCCUCUGGCAAAUCUGCCAGACAACAGGCUGCUUACUACCAAUUUCUGGCAGCAUCCAUAUCACAAUAUACAAAACAAGGAUCAAACACUCCAAGGCCUUGGCCUACAAGUCAGCAGAUUAAGAAAUGCAGGCCAUCUCUGAUCUGCAAAGAGAGAACCAGCGAGCAUCCAACCUCUCAUCCAAAGUUAGGUCUUUGUAAAGCCUCCUAAAUGGCUCUAUAAGCAAAAAAAGCCACCUUCCCCAGACUAUGUUAACAUUGACAAUUUCUUAAAGUGAAUAUUUUUAAACAAUAGGGAUCCUGUUAAAUUUUGAAAAAUAAAAAUCCAUAACUAUUCAUGCAUAAAAGCAGCACUAGAUAUAACAUAACUUUGGGUUUAUCCAUUGAAUUUUUUCCCAAAAAUAUUAUUUUAGUUAUAACUUGUAUUAUGAAAAUUAAGGGAUGGCUGCAACCUGUAGUUUCUAUACCUAGUGGUAACAAUUUUUCCAUUUUUGAUGGGCAAACAAAAAAAUUAUUAGAAGAGCAUAAAAGACAUAGAAUCUAAGUACACAAGAUGUAUAUAGGAACACCAAAGGGAAAGAGAGAAAGCAAAUAAAGAAGAGGUAAGACAAUGACUACAAACUGAACCCCAAUCCAAUCCUAUUAAUGAAAUCAAGAUGCAUUAUUAGCAUUCCUCAAUAACAAUUCUAGUUGGAUACACUAGUGCAUAUCCACAACAAAGUUUUUAAUGCUGGUCAACGGAACAUCUUCCGGUUUCUUUCAUAUUUCAAGUGGGUUGAGACAAGGGGAUCCUUUCUCUUUUUUUUAUUUGUUCUAGCCAUAGAGGCGUUUGGUUGUCUAUUGAAGAGAGCCAAGGAGGGAGGUUAUGUGUCAAGUUUUAGGGUUACAUUUAUUGAAGACUAUCGAUGCGGAAAAGACAAUAUAUUUCCUAAUGAGGGAGGCUUACAUAGAUUAGAAGUACUUUGUCGAGCAAGUCAAUCUAUUACAUGUCUUUGUUUAUAAUCCCUAGAAGGUCAAAUUGAGGUCAAAGAAUAUUUAAGGGAGUUUUUUAGGGAGGUGGGACUUUGGAGAAAACGCAUAAAUAAGAGAAAAGGGGGUUUGAGCAUUAGAAUUCUCUCUUUUUUGAAUUAGGCCCUCCUUGGCUGGAGACAUGUUUCUAAUAGGGAAGUUUUUUGGAAGCACAUUAUAGAGGGGAAGUAUGGGAACGAAGGAGUGCGUUAAAACCUUUGUGAAGUUGGAGAUGGUUAUGGGGUUGGUAUUUGGAAAGCUAUAAGUAAGGGUGUGGUUUUUUCUUUAGUAUAACUUCCUUUGAAGUGGAUAAUGGUAGAAGGGUUAAAUUUUGGACACAAAUGGCAUGCGGAGGAGCCCUGUGUAAUUCUUUUUCCCACUGUAUGCAUUGGCUUCGUUAAAGGAGGCUCGAGUGGCGGAUUUAUGGGAAGACUUGGGAGAGUAGGGACAUUGGAUUUCAUGCUUCACUAAGCACUUUAAUAACUUGAGUUGGACAUUGUUGAGACCUUUUUGCACGCUUGCACACCAGUCUAGUACACCCCACCCCUGGAAUAAUCAUGCAGAGAAUAAACAGUUGUUGGCCCUUACCUUUUAAACUAAAGGAUGGGAUUUAGUAAAGUUGGGGCCAUUUGCUGAUCAUUUUGAUAAUCUCAUUACAAUUUAGGAGCUACAAAUAUGAUGAAGUUGAGUCACUUAAACAGGUUUAUCAACAUAAGCUACAGAAUUUCACCAGUUGAAUUGAAGUUCCCUAUCUGUUUUUUCACUUGAAUGAUUCAAGGAACUAAAUGAGUAACUGUGGGCCAAUAAACAGGGGGUUUAAGAGCCAAACAUUCAGUAAUUCCCUGAAACCAAUCAAAAUGCAGUAAUUUUGAUAUCAGUGUAGAAUUAAUCCAAGCCAUUCUUGCAAAUUGAUGAUGGAUUUUCUUGAACUAAUUAUCAAAUUCCCAUUUUUCGAAACUACAAGCUCAAUUUGGUCUGGCAUCCCACAAAAGUAAAUUAAUUCAUAUGAAUUUCUAUGAAAUACUUUAAACCAUUAGACCAUAAUCUUCAAAGAAUAUAGAGAAUUAUAAGCUGUAAAUAAGAAACAAAAAUUUGAAAUCACACUUAUAAACAUAUAAAAAAUAUAAAAAUAUAUGCUGUAAAUAAGGAAAAAAAAAAUUGAAAUCACACUGAUAAACACAGGUACACAUCAAAUGCUUGGGGUAUUACAAUGACAACUUAGCCAACAUAUCUAUUCUAAAUAUCAAAAAUCAGACAAAAACACAUUUUGAUAUCUGAACAAUUCUAAAUAUGUGAACAUCUCAUUAUUUAUAGCCAACGAAGGUAGUGCCUGACCCAAACCAGACUAAUAAGCUGGAACAUGCCAGCAUCAAAGUUACACUCAUAUCAAUGUAACUUCUAUCACAGAAGUCUAGUUCAACCAUUUUAAGAAAUCUCAUUGCUUGGUUCUACCGUUCUCUCUUUUUGGUGUGUUGUGGGUGCUUCCCUCCUCGGUUAGAGUAGCUUUGUUAGGAUGACAUGGUUUUUUUGUGGGUAAGAAAAGAAAAAAGGCGUGGCAGGCUGCUCCUUUAUGACUUUUCUGGACUGUUUGGAAGGAAAGAAAUAGUAAGACAUUUGACAAUGAGGGGUGGUCCAUUCAAGGGUUGAAAUUCUCCUUCAUUUGUAAUCUUUGGGCUUGGUGCAAGUUGUAUAUAGUUCCUAGUCCUCCUUCCUUUGUAGACUUUGUGGAGUGGUUGGGUUUGGGCUAAGGGGGCUGUUGAUGGUGUUCCUCUUUGUUUUUGUGUUGCCUUGAGGUGUUUCUUUGUAUACAUCUUGUGUACUUUGGAAUGCCUUUUUUGGCCUUACUUUUUAUAAAAUGUUUCUGUUUACCUAUCAAAAAAAAAAAAGAAAAGAAAUAUCAUUGCUUGGAGACUUGGGUAAUAGGUGCAUAACAAAUCAAACAAGGACUCCAUCUAAUGAGUGGAUAUGAAUUUGCAUCUAAGACAUAUCUAAUAUCCUUAUCCAAAUCCAAUAAUGUCAACAAUGGGUAUGGUAUAAGGGAAAGGCCAGGGCAUAACAGAUCUGGACAUAUCAAAUGCAUGAUGUUGGGCUUCUCAUACACGAGUUUGGUAGGUGGUACAGAAUGCCUCCUUUAUCUCCAGUUUGUUUCAUCAGUUUACUUAUACACCAUAUAUAAAACAAUAAAAUCCACAAGACCCCUAAAACAAAGCUAGAUAAAAAAAACCAUAGGGAUUAGUUCGCAGAUUAAAAAUAAAUAUUCAAUAACAGAGAGCUGUCAAAGGGAAAUAAACUUACAUCUGGGGUUUUAGACUUUCUAGGGAAAUGAGGAAGGGUUCGAUCUAUAAAUCCAUCAGGAGCACGACGACCCCCAACCGAUUGCUGACCUACACAUGCAAUCAUUUGGCUAAUAUUGAUAGGAGAUCCUUUGGAACCACAUUGGGACAUAAUCAAAGGGCUAUUCCUCCAAUGUAGUUCUUCCAUGCAAACCUAUUGCAAAAAUUAAAGAACAAAUUAAGUUGCUUCCUUAAAAAUACUUUCUAUACCUUAGUUAAAAGUAUAUAACAAUUAAAAAUCAGUACAAAAGAAACGAUAUAAGUACAACAAGUUAUUACAACAUAAAUCUAUUAUUCAAAUAAAUGCUUCAGUAAAAGAACAUACAAAGGAAUGAUUUAAACGAGACACUUGAGAUAUUUUCCGACAAAGAUACAAUUAGGGAAUGCUAUAAAAUAAGCCUAAAAUUGAUCCUCACAUUCGCAGUUGUUUCUCGAAUUUUAUUUAAUACACCAGUUAUUUCGGCUUCAAGAGUUUGGGCAGCAUUGCAACCAGGUUGAAGUUUCAGCUUCCCUUUAUUGUACUGCUGUAUUAGCUCAUGACAAUUUUCAUAUCCUUCCUCAAUCCUCUUACUUUUCUGGUCAUUCAAAAGCCCUCCUGGUUGAACAUCAUCAAUCCCAAUUGAGAAGCCAUGAUUCCCUAUCCACCGAGCACUGAAACCAAGCCAAUAGUAAGAUGGCAUAUAUGAAUGAGAAAAUGGUGCAACUUCUUUCUUUUGUUAAAAAUAGUAUCCAAAGCUACCUAAUACUGAUUAAUUAUCAAGAUAUAUAACAAUGAUAACCUUGAUUGAAAAAAAAUAAAAAUUGUUGCCAUUAACCAUUCACAUGGAUAAUUAAUGAUCAUUAGGCACACCUAGGAAUCAGAUGACAUGAUGAGCAAACAUCAUUUUGGCAAACAUUCUACAGUAACCUAAACUAUAAAGGAAAACCUGUAUAACACCAUCGAUGCUAAUGUAUUAAAAUAAUUAAAAUUAGCUUGUCAUGGGAACAAAUCAUGAAUUAACAAUUGUCGGAUCAUGGUAACUAUUUAGUAGAUAUACUAUCAUCAGAACUAGAUCACAUUUUUAACAAAUUUCAAAACUUCUAAAAAAUUGGAAUGCUGGUAAUCAUUUUAACUGAAACAACCAUCUUCAUUUAUCUUAAAAGAUAAAUACAAGAAGGACAACCUUCAAAGAUUAAUAGUUACAUAUAAGUGUAAGUUUAUAACAACUAAAGGAGUUUUUCACUCAAGUAUUUUGGUAUUUCAACUAGUAAGUAGGGCACUAAUAAAGGUAGAGUAACAUGUGCAAUAAAAUGUAAUUUAGUGUGUACAUUAUGGUCAUACUUGGUUGGCUAGAUCUGUGGGAUAGGAUAAAAAAUAAGAUAACAUAUCUCAUCCCAUAUUUAAUUGGUGAUGAGAUAAGAAUGUUAGCUCAUCAUUCACCCUAUCUUAUUUUCAAUCAAAGAUAGGAUAUGAUAAGUGAUGUAAUAACUUAUUGAUUUUUUUUUAUAUCCUCUCCACAUAGGAUAUAAUAAUCCUAAGAUAUGGGAUAUAACCCAUAUCCCCAUGAAUCAUAAAUUUAUUACGCUCAUCAAUCUUCUUUCCUUUUAUUUAUUUAUUUUUUCUUCUGUUUUUUCAAUUUUUUAUAUUUUUCUUUUUGUAAAACAGAAAAAAAAAAAUUAUCAAAAAAUCAAAUUUGUAUUCCACAAAGAAAAGAAUAAAAAAGAUAUGUAUAUAAUACAACCUAAGAUAACACGAAUAUAAUAUUUAAUAUUAUAGAAAAUAACUUUUUUAUAUUUAACAAUACAAUUUAAUAUUUUUUAUUUAUAUAUUUUAGACAUUUUAAUCAUCAAUGUGAUUAACAAAAAAAAAAUUAAUUACUAAAUUAUAAAUUGCAGAAUGAUUUCUAAAUAACCCUAAACAUGACAGAGAUUUCCCUUUUUUAAAAAUAGAAAUAUUUCUAUUUAAAAAUUAUCAAACAUUGAAAUGCAAUAUAUUUUAUAUUCCAUUUUUUAUUUUUUCAACAAACCAAAUAUGAGCAUGAUAUAACAUAUUCUAUCAAAUAUAAUAUCCAAGGAUAUCGUGGCUCAUUGGAAAUAAUAUCCAAGGAUAUAUAUAUAUAAUCCUAUCUGAUCCUGAACCAAACAUAACCUAUAUUUUAGAGGAACCAAGGACUCAAUGCUGCUAGAUACAUAACUAUGAUCCUGAAAGAACUAGCAUCAACAGAGUACAGAAAACCAUUGCAGUGUAUUUAACUUAAAGCAUUACUGGAAAGAGUCAAGUUCAAAACAUUUAAGAAACCUCACCAUGUUUAAAAUAAACAUGAACUUCUACAUGAAAAUGCAGAUGUUCAUGUAUGUACUUAAAAAGGAUAAACCAAAGAUUUAAUAAAUAGCCAUCACAUCCUGUUGUGCUUCAACAAAAUUGAAGUAAAAGGUGAUCUGUGAUCACCAAUCAAAACACAUUUGUUAAAAGGUUACCUCAAUUUUGCCAGACGAUUCAUACAAGCAGCAGCAGCAUGUGCAUUAUAGUCCCUAAGAAGAACAGAGAAAAGACCGUCCUUGUUGCCAUUUCCUACAAACAUAAUAUUGAUUUUUCAAGAGUGAAAAACACACAGACUAAUAAGUUCAAUACAAAUAUUUUCAUAGCAUUCAGGUCAAAUAGUCCAUUCAGGAAGUUACUUGUUACUCCCCUUUAUGUGACUUGACAAUCGUUUCUUCAUUGCCCAAUGUUACUAGCAACUUCCCACUUUAAGUGUACUACUGUCACUUUUCCCCUUCUCAUUGUGCUUUCAGGAAAAUAGGGAGAGUUAAGGUCAACAGCCAUGAGAAAUGUGGAAUUUCAUUGGAUCCUCCAGUUUGUUCUUCAGCUAAAGCUUAAUGCCCACUCAUUAGUAACAAUAAGUGAACUAAGUGACACAUUCACUUAGAUAACUGAUCUUUUCAGUUAUGAUUUUGUGAACCUUAUGAGCUUGAUAUACGUUGUAAUUAAUCUUUACCAUCUAUUAUUACUCCUGUUAAUGCUUCAGCACCCUCCCUUGUUACCUCAUUGUCCCACUUAUGUAAAAUUUGGGGAAAACUGUUUUCAUUUCAUAUGGAUUUACAUUUAAACAUAAGAAUGUGAGUUUACUGUGUUUAAAUCCUCAGAAAAAAAUGAUGGCCACCCAAUCCGACACAAUUACCAAUAGCUCUACCACAGCAAGGAUGUAAAUAUACAUUAUUUUCUCAACAAAAUAAAGGAUGUUAUGCUAGUUAAAAUCCAGAACAUGGAAGCUUAAAUACAAGACACAUGUAUGUGAGGGGGAAAACCUUGAAAUGUAAAUCAGGUAGAAGCUUCAGAUAGGACAUUUGCAAAUUGUACUUUCACGGAAGAUAAUAUAGUACCAUGGCAUAGCUAGGAACAAUGCAUGGCAGCUAUGUUCAGCAAAGAAGUACAGUUCAAAGUUCAAACCAAUGAAUCAUGACCUUUUUGUACCUAGGUCGUUGAAUAUCCUGCAAGGAGGACUGGUCUUGAAUUGAAUUCUCUUAACUUGUCUUUGAUAACAAGAGACUACCUAUUCCUGGAUGAUACAAAUAAACCCUGUGAAAGGACCUAACAGCAACUUGCUGAAAUCCACACCAAGAGAACAGUUACCUUGGAUUUUUUAUUUUUAUUUUUAUAAGUAACAGUUAAUUUGGAUUAUGAACUAUAAAGAUCUUUUUCUCUAGGCAAACUAGAGAUUUAUUUUAAAAAGAUCUUACACCUAUCAAAAAAAAAAAAAAGAGGGCAUGCCCUAACACAUAAGAGGUAUACAGAAUGCACCAAAAGCAGUAGCUAACCAAAACAAAAAUAGAAGUUUUAUAGUGGUGUAGCACCUUCUCAAGCAAUCAAUGAUCUCUAGAAAAGCAAGGGUAGCCACCCUUCAUGAAUUCCUAAACCAUUCAAACAAAAUUGAGGAAAGACUCUUCUAAUGCCUGAUUAGAGCACUCUAGAUCUUCAAAAAUGCAUAAAAAAAAGCACAAAGGAGUAGUCCUCCUCACUUCUAUGCACCUCUCAAAGUUAAAGACAUUUAAUAUACAUGCACUAACUUGACUACUUGAGGCAUUGGACAUACUAUAGUUUUAUGCAAAACAAUUUUUGGUUAUCCAUAUGUCAAUACAUAGACAAGAAGAGUGAACAAACUGUAGAUUGAAUCAGUAACCAAUUCCUUUUUUUUUUUUUUUUUUUUUUUUUUGAUAGGCAUCAGUAACCAAUUCCUACUCAUUUCGUCUCUUCAAAUUUUUCUUCCUUUUUUACUUCUAUUCAAACCCUGCCAACCUGGAAAAACAAAUAAACAAUAAAAGAAACAUGGGGGUGCAUUACCCAGGUAAUCAUUGAAGUUAGAAUUGGGAGACUGUAAGCGUCUCCCAUAGGGGGGGCACAGGAGCCAUCUUCUGAUUCUUUACAAAUCAAGGCCAGCUCAGAUUGACUCCUCAAGUAGUGUCCUUCAUAGGCUUUAAUCCAUUCAAGACAGAAUAAAUCUCAGGGAAGAGUACAUUGAUAACAUGGGAGAGAUGACCACCACAGAGAAUUGAGAGUGGAGAGUAAAAUAAUUCAAUCAAAAAAGGAAGUAGGUAACAGACUUUUCAGUUGCAAUCAUGAGAACAACUUUCGAGUGUUGAUUCACAUCUGGGAGACAGUGGACCAAAAUCAGUUUCAAGAGAUCUGUAAUGUUUUGAGCAUGACCAAUAUGUAUACUCCAGUUUAUGGAAGAGUGUUAAAAAAAUGUCAGCCUAUUGUUAUGUAGUGGUUGGUGCAAUUUUGCAAUUCCAUGUUCUGAUAGAGAAUUAUAUAUGAGUAGUAGGUUAAAUUCAAACCCUUUAAAACUCUUUUUUUUUUUUUAUAGGUAAUAAACUUUUAAAACCUUUCCCUUCAAAUAUUUUCUUUUCCAACAAACUUAAUGGCAAAAGCCUUGGCAAACAAUUGAACAAUCAAAAAUUUAAACUUCCUAUAAAGGAAGUCCUAGACACCUCACAUAUUUGCUGCUUAUCCAACAAUAUUUGACAAAUCAGAAUAUGUAGAAAAGGAGAAAAAGGAGAAACCUCACCAAUCAAGAAUUACAGCUGAGCUUUAAGAAAUAAACAUGUCCUAACAAACAUCACCAGAUAUUUCGUAAAAAGAAGCUAAAUAUUGUGGGACUGUUGAUUAAAAGCAAAUAAUCCAUGAAAAUGGAAAUAUGUUAGAAAUGGACAGGAAACGGACCUAAAGUAGCCUUCCCAAGUUGCCCAGAUAUUAGUUCGCUAUUUCGGAAAUAGACAAACCCAUCACUAGGACACAUUGUUUCUUUUCCUCUACGCUUGUUGUAGGUUUUCUCCAUGACAGUAAGAUUCAGAUAGACUCUCACAUUUGCAUGAGGGCGCAGUAGAACAUUAAAUAACUGUUUACCAGUCCACAGCUCCACUGGCUGCAAAAACAAAUUUGCGUUCAGACCAAAUGGAGAGUAACUCCAAAGAUGCAAGAAACACAGCAUUUAACAUUUAAGGGCUAAAAUCACUCAAUGCUUUAAAACAUAGUUUUCAUCUAUGAAAAGACAUUUUGAAAAAUAAUGAGACCAUAAAAGAAAUUUUUGCUACUAAGACCAAAGAAUGAUGUCAUAUAGAAACUCCACAAGCACAGUUCAAAUGCAUAUUUUACUAACAUGGUUUAUAGAUAAUGGGCUCUAUAGAUGCCAAUGAGUAUGGCCAUAAUCUAUCAACUGAAUUUGGUUUCACAAUUGAGACUUUCCUCACACAACAGAUUACUUCCCUCGGUUGACGUAUCUAGUGGUUUAGAACAUAUCAUAGAUCUCCCCUAUAAAGGGAAAUGAAAAAUGUAUGUGUCUCUUGCAUCACCUUCAACUCUAAGAAACCAUCUUAGCUGCACAAGGCAUUCAAACUAAAAGUUAUUUAGAAAGAUGAGCUUUUCAAGGCCUUCACCUUUUACACCAUGGCCUAUCUGCCAACAUCAUCUACAAGAACAAUUAGAAUUGUACCUAAACACAAAGGUUCCAAUAGAAAUCAAAAUUCCAAAAUAGAGAGGAAAAGAACAGAACUAGAAGAGAAUAAACAGGAAAAUUUUGGGUCUUCAAAACAACUGGAAAUUGAAGCUUAAGAGGUCAAUCUAUCAUAUGUGCUCCCAAAAACAAUUUUUCAUACCAUCUCCAAGAGAGAAACAAGUAAUAUUAGAGAAAUCAAUGAAAGCUUGACCAAUAGUUUUCCAAGGACAGUGGUGCAACCACCUUACCAUAAUGUUGGCAUCCCAACAAUUGGAAUGUAGCCAAUAAAUGCUUACAAUGAUUCUAUGCUUUGAAGCAUUGUUCUCCCAAGGAAAACUCCACAGCCAAUUACCAAGAAGGGCUCUACUCCUUAAGAAGAUCUUAUGUAAUUUCAAACCUCCAUCUCUUUUCAAUUUGCACACAUGCUCCUAAUCAACAAGGUAGUCUAUCAUCUAUUCCCCCAAUCCUUACCAAAGAAAAUCCCCUUGCAAUGUCAAAGUCAUAGACACCACUUUUACUAGGCUCUUGGAAAUAGAAAAGAAAUAGAUGGAUAUAGAAGAUAUUAAGAAAAAAAAAAGGCACCUACAAAACGGUAUCACACCACUUAAGGACAAAAAGACUAUCUUACAAUCAUCCAUGUAAUAGGAAAUUGCAUCCAAAACCUAGUCUCAAAACAAUGCAGCUUUUGGUUUUUAACUCUCAAAAUCAAUGUGCUCAACAAAUCAACAACAAUGGUGAAAAAAAAGAAAAUAGGGUCACCUUAUAUUGACCUAUAGAUGCUUUAACCCAAAAAAAGUAAUAGCUUAUAAACAAUCUCAAAUCCACCUCCACUUUGAGCUAAAACCUAUCCUUACUAAAGAAUGGCCUUAGAAAACUCAAUCCACAUAAUCACAUGCCUUCUCAAAAUCUAUCUUGAAAACUACUCCUUCACUUGAAGGUCACCUUUCAUCUUCCACUAAGACCGUAGACUUUCUUGAAUAAGAACUCCUCGUAAGGACCCUUAGAUGCUAUGAGAUAACACUUUUGCUAUGCUUUGUAGAGAUUAGUAACAAAUCUGGUGGAUCUAAAAUUUUGGUUGAUUUGAGUUCUCUUAGGUACAAAUACAAUGAAAGUGGCAUUGGACUCUUACUUGUAACCCCACUAUAGUAGAAUUUUAGCAACAACCUUCAACAUAUUCUCAUUGAUUGUGUCCCAAAAACCUUGAUAAAAUGCUAAGGAAUGGACCUAAAGCCUUUCCUUUAUCGAUUUGAAAACUACACCUUGAAUUUCCUUCACUUUGGAAAAUGAUAUUCUAACUACCUAGUAGUCUCCUUAGAAAUUAGGGACCAAUCUAAACAUCCCACCAUCAUAAACAUCCAAUUUGAUUUUGAAAGUCUACCAGGAAAGUUCAAAUUUUCAUUUAAUAUACCAUGCUUGUUGUCCAACAAUACCAACACCCUUUCUCCAAAUACCAAAGACUUGAUAAACUUCCUUUUUCUUCUCCUAAUUGCCCCAUUGUGAAAAAUACUUGGAAUUAAAAUCUCCCUCCUUAAUGAACUUCACCCUACCUCUUCUUAUUUGAUGCACCUUUAAAAGUUCUUCUAAGUCAAUCUUUCUAGUAUCCCUUAAUGCUACUAAUUUUGUUGUUAAAGCACCCUUCCUCACAGGAAUAUACCAUGGCAACAUCACUAAAGAUAGCAUCUCCUUCCUUAAUGUCCUUGAAAUUGCCUUGUUCCAAGUAUCCAAUUUUGCUUUCAUGAGUUGCAAUUUUUGCAUGCAUUUAUGACCCUCCCAUCCUUAGACUAGCACAUCACUUCACCAAGAGCCAACUUUAAAAGCUAAUGUGGAACAACCACAUUACUGUUAAAAACAUUUUCCACUCAUUAGAAAAUAGAUACCUAUUUGUGGCUAUGGAGGUUCCCUAAGGUAAGAUGUGGUAUUUGGCAUCAGGUUAUUGCAAGCAUUUAUGGAGACAUCCUAAUGGAUGAGACGUCAACAUUUUGGUUAAACGGUCACAUAGAUGUCCUUGGAAGGCUAUUGCACAAUUCUUUUAGGAAUUUGCCCCAUACACCCACUCUGUGGUGGGGAAUGGUGAGAGAAUCUAGUUUUGGGAAGAUUUAUGGUAGGAAAGUCAACCUUUGUGUUCCCAAUUUUUAGAACUCCAUAAUCUCACUGAAAAAUCUCACCAUCUCAAUCACCCUUGGUAAUUCCUACUUGUCUUACUGGAAUUUUAACUUCCAUUGCAAUCUCAUUGAUGCCAAAAUUGAUUCUCUUCAAAGACUCGUGUCUUCACUCACCUCGGUGCACUUGUCUCCCACCACCGCAAAUUCAAGGGCAUGGUCUUUGUCCUCCUCUGACUUAUUCUCAAUAAAAUCUUUCUUUUUGGUUCUGUCCAAUCCCUCAAGUCCAACCCCUUUCCAUCUAGCCAAUUUUGUUUGGAAAUCAAAAUACUCUUUAAAGGUAAAAGGUCUUUGCUUGGUUAGUGGUGCAUAAGAAGGUAAAUACCAAUAACUCACUAUAGGUGAGAAGACCUUAUAAUUUUCUUAGUCCUUAAUGGUGCAUUUUAUGCAAAGGAAAUGAAGAAUAGAUUAACCAUCUUUUUCUACAUUAUCUUUUAACUUUGGGACUUUGGCAUAAGCGUUUCAGUUUAGCCAAUAUGGUUUAGGUGUAACCUAGGAGCACCGAAGAUAUGAUGAUUAUCUCUUUUAGAGGAUUAGGUAAUUCAAUAAGAGACAAGACACUUUGGCAAAUCACUUACCUCAUUAUUCUUUAGAUUGUGUGGCAAGAGAGAAAUGCUAGGAUUUUUUAGGAGAAGUGGAGAAUCGAAGAGACAUGGGAUCUACUUCAUUUCUACUCAUCCCUUUAGGCCUCUUGUUCCAUUGCUUUUAGGGGAGUUCCACUUAAUGUUAUUCAACUAAGUUGGCUUUCGGUUUGUAAUUCAAAAUGGGUUGAUAACAUUAAAAGGAGUUGGUUUCAGUUUGUAAGUAAUUUUGUGUAUGCCUGUGUUUAGUUAACCUCAUAUAGUGGAGGAGUCUACUCUUACUUUGAUCAGGUUUUAUAUUCUAUGAAAAGGAUCUCUCAUCCUUCCCUCUUUCCUUUAUCAAUAAAAAUUUAUUUUUAUUUCUAAUUAAAUAUAUAUAUAUAUAUAUAUAUAUAUAUAUAUAUAUAUAUAUAUAUAAAGGAAUUUUGCAGUUUGACCAAGGGAAGGCAACAUUUUUCCAGAGGGAAAUUGAUUAUUUCACAACCCCCCUGCCCCACAUACCAAAGAAGUGCUUAGGCCCUCCUAAUUUUCCAGAAGUCAUUUUUCCCAAAAAGUGACACCUCUCCAAAAGUUUCUGAUAAUCAAAUGGACCAACCAACAUUUUUACAACAAUCUCCAUUCUAGUUUAUACAUUAAUACAUACAGCUCACCUCAAUGUCAAAUUCAGCAACAAAAAAGACUCUUAUCACCAAUAACAAGAUUUUUUUUUCCCCUUAAAAACACUUGCAUUACUCAAGUCAUCUAGGAUAGAACUAUAGUUACAUUUGCCUUCACCAAAUAUUAAAGAUACCAAGCAAUCUCUUUUAGGUCUUCCAAAAGUGCUAGAAUCACUAUUUUGACAACUGAACCAAACUGAGCUGGUUGCAAGAAACUGUCGAUUAUCUUGUCCUUAGGGUCUCUAAAGAGGUCACCAAUCCACAACUAAUCAUUUUUGGACGCAUAAACAGAUAAUUUAUAAAUGUUGCAUAUCUAAAAGGGGAGAUGAACUCCAACUACAUGCUAAGAAUACAAAGGGCAUAAUAAAAGAAAGACGAGAAGGCAAGAAGCAAAAAGCGACCACACAUGGCCUAGACUCAUCCUAUACAAUCCAAUAAGAUUCUCUAACCAAAGUCUAUCUCUAGACAACCAAACAAUAAUUUCAAGAAAAAGUCUCUUAGUAAUAAUCUCAACCAUAAAGUUCUCCUAUUAUACUCCUUCCAAAUACACUAAAAGAAGCAUAACAGCACCGCUUUCCAAACUUUAGAAUGCCUCUUCCCUAUAAAUCUACAAUGCUAAGAUAACAACAAAUCUUUAACAAACAUUGGGAUCAACCAAGAAUCCUAAAGAAGAGACGAAGGGAGGAAUCCAGGCAUUCCUAGAAUGGAUAACAACAGCAAUUGAUCCACCAAUUAGUUGCACCUUGCCACACCAUUCUUUUCAAGGAAUGCUUGUUCAGCAUCACCAACUAAAUAAUCUGCCUGAAUACCUCAACCAUUUGCAACUCACAAUCAUGAAAUUUUCUUUAAAAACAGGUAAUGCAACCAUAGGAGCCACAUCUGUCAUCCCAAAUAUCAGCUAUUCCAGUAUUCCUCAGAGAAGCAAUUCUAAACAAAGCAGGGAAUGAGACUAUAAGAGGCAACUUGCCACACCCACGAAUAAACCAAAAUUUGGUUAGCUGAUCAUCCCCAAUUGGAACUUGAUCCUAGAAGAGAGGUCUUCACACCCCUUUUAAUAGUUUUCCAGAGGACCACAUCAAAGCUUUCAUUACCUUCUCUGGAGCUUCAACGCUCAUCAAUUGCCCCAAAUUUCCCUAUAACAAUCUGCCUCCAUAAACACUACUUCUCUGCAGAAAACCUCCAUAACUACUUCCCAAUUAGAGACUUAUUUAACUAAAGCUCUCUUAACCCAACCCAACAUUCUCCUCCACGUUCAAUCAAGCAUUGAGAUUAGAGUAUACAUGAUCCAUGCCCACUAUGACAUGAUUUAUCACAUUAUAGAUUUUCUUGGGAGAAAAUGUAUGACAUGAUCUAGCAAACUCCUAGCUGCAUGCCUGUGAAUGGAAAAGCAAAACACACAAAAGAUCACUUCUUUCAAAUCAGAAGGUCAUCAUAAUACAGAAUCUACAUUCAGUUUUCCUUGCAUUCACAUUCUUUCACUCGAUGUCAAAAAGGAAAAGAAGAUGAAGAAGUGAGAACUGCAAACUAUCACAUUAAGAAGACAAGGAACCCUUUACUAUUUACUGCAAGCACUCCUAAAAAAUACGCAAUGCGUUAUAAUAAAAAGGUUAAAAUCAUCAUCAAGUAAAUGUAACUUGCCUUAAUUAUUGCUGGUGUUGGUAAAUCAACAAGAUCCAUGCCAUCACCCAUAUAUGAACACAUGAGCGAAAAAGCUGCGCGGUCAUAAAAAGUGUCCUUCCUCGUAAUCAGGAAGGAAGAUGUUAGAAAAUCUUGGGUCGAAGCAACCAAGAUCUCUCCAUUUUUUGGUGUACAUAAGUUAUUUUGCACCUAAAAAGCAACAAACACAGUUCUGAUCAGAACAGUAACAUAUCGAAUAAUAAAAGCAAAGAUAACUUCAAUAAUAAUUUCUGACCCAUGUUUAUGAGAUUAUAAAAUAUGACCAAACUUAAACCAAAAAUUGAUUCACCCAGAAAUGGACAUAUUGGUUUCUUAAGAAUAUGCAUAGAAUACCAAAAGGACUUAUUCAUGUUCAAGCAAGUUUUAACAAUACCAUUGCGACUGUUAUAGAUGUAGAGGUCUUGGUCCUCAUCCAGUAGGCAGUACUUGUAGAUUUAUGACUGAUGAUUAAACAUCAAUCCUCCAUUUUUGGCAAAUAAUAUACCCAAGACAAAAUGAAAGGAUGAUAGUAGUACAAAGCUUCUCCAACUAAAAUGAGAGAAAUAAAGGAGCAUAAUUUAACAAUUAUAAUGAUAUCCAAGAAUAUAUUCAGACCUUAAAGCAAAAGAAACAGGAGAGAUAAAAAGUUAAUGUUGAGACUAGUUUUUAUGAACCAAUUCCACCCACAGCCACAUCCACAAAGCCACCCAAAUAAAAUAAAAAAUAAAAAAAGACAACCCAAGAAUUAAAAGAAUAAUUGCAGUGUCAAGAGCUACUGAUGUAAAUUUAUCUACUAAGUGCAAUGAUUUUUGUAUUUUCUUUUUUUCUUUUUUCUUUUUUUCUUUCUUUUCCAUUUUUUUGACAACCCAGGGAACCACACCAUGGCAAGGUCCUUUGGAACUACCCAUGGUUACCAAACCCUGAGGUCACUGAAGGCACCUGCCACAGCCAGCACCAUGUAAUCCAAGGAUUCCCAGUGGCAGGGAUCAAACCCAAGAACAUGUGGCCCAGGCCAAAGGUUUGCUUUUGUAAGAAACACAAAAUGUUAGAUACUUAUGCCCACAGCAAUGAAGUAGUUUAUAGCUGUAAAAACCUCUUGCUUUAUAAGAAAAUUGAUAUUUAAAAGUGUUAGAAAGGGUGUUUGAAACAUUUGGGCUUCAGGAAAAUUAAGAAAGGAUAAGGAAAGACAGCUACACAGCUGACCCAAGUGUCAAUCAAACUAAGAAUUCUGAUCUAGAGUAUUUCUUUUCCCCUAUUUUAAUAGAUAAUUCAGACCACAAUGUUACCAGAUAUCAUGCAACACAGAAGCAACGCUACAAAGCGUAAGUCCAAGUCAACGCAGGUCAAUCCCCUUUCUACAAACAUUAUUUGGAAUCUGUGGGUCCUGUCUAAAGUGAGCUUUUUGCUUAGGAAGCCAACUGGCGAAAAAUUUUGAUUUUAGAUCAACUUCAAAAAAGAAGGCAGCCACUAGCAAAUAAAUGUUUUCUUUGUAAACUUGAGUAGGAGUCUAUUGAUCAUAUUCUAAUUCACUGCAAAGUAAGGAUUCCAUGAAAACUGUUGUUCUCCUUAUUUAGUGUAGUUUGGGUGAUCCUUUCUUCAGUGAAAGAUACUCUAUUGGGUUGGCAUGGUUCCUUUGUAGGAAAGAAAAAGAAAAAGGUGUGGAGAGCUGCCCCCCUUUGCAUUUUUUGAAUAAUUUGGUGGAAAUGAAAUCAAAGAACUUUUGAAAACAAAGAACGAACUUAUUAAGAGAGAAAAUAUUUGUUUCUUUGUAAUCUUUCAGCUUGGAUUAGCAUGUACAUAGGAGAAGGCUCAAUGCCUUUGAUUGAUUUUAUAGAUUGGGUGGGGCCUCCCUUAGGAUUUUUGGUUUUUGACCUUCAACCGCUAAGUUUGUUGCUCCGAGAUGGGAGGUUGGUGGAUCUCAAGAGAAGUGCAGAGAAGGAUUCCUCAGGUAAGGAUUUGAAAGUUAGUGCUGAGGAAGGGGAGGCCACUAAAGCAAUGGAAGCUUGUCGUGUUUCAAAGGAGGAGAAGCUUGGCUCUGUUAGCCUUCCUGAUAAUUUAGUCAAGUUCAGUAGCUUUUUGGGUUUGCCAAUGGUGGGGGUUGAAAAAGAAAUCAACUACCUUUUGAGGAAAUUGGAGUCAAGAAAAGGUCAUGGGGUCAAAGUCGCAGGGGGAAAGAGAAAUUUGUUUUUGGCUACUCAGUUGGAGAGGGAGAUAUGAAAACUAGAAUGCUCAGUCAAUUACAACUACUCUCAGAUAGGGGAAAGGGGAGGGCCAGUGGGAUUUCAGUUCCUUCGUUAUGAGGCCGCCUUUUUCAUUUACAACUUGGUUGCAGGUUUUUGAUUUCAGAAGGUCUCAAGGGUGUUUUCUAUUAUGUGCUAGCUUUAGGAGUCUCUUUUUGGUGGUGUUAGUGUUUUUGCACUGGUCCUUCCCACCAGGGAAUGUCCGGUUGUUCUUAGGGUGCUGUGGUUUGGCUAUUUUCAGGGUGGUUGGUAUUUACUCUUCCCUCUUCUCUCUUGAUAGCCUUUGAGCAUAUGUUGUAUACUUCGUGUGUACUUUUUGAUGCACCUUUUUGCUAGCGCUUUUUAAUAUAGUCUCUCAUUUACCUAUCAAGAAAAAGAGAAUUGAGUGGGGUCUUGCUGAGAGUAAGAGUGGUUUUCUGUCAUUUCUUGUUUGUGACCUUCCUUUGGGGCACCCAUGUAUACACCCUGGGUAGUUUAGUGUACUUUUUUCUAUUAUUAGUUAAUAAUAAUAAUAAUAAUAAUAAUAUAAAUGGUUAGAAAAGUUUGACUUUUUGACAGUUCAAAAAGUCAAAAAUUAAUAGGGACUAAAUGGUGGUUCCUAUUGAAUCAUAAACAAAGAUCAAGAAAGAAGAUGGCCACUGACAGGCACAAAUCUAAACAAGAGUGAGAACUAAUAGCAUUUACCCCCAUCAACAUAAGAGCCUCCGUGCGAGCUUCUUCUGUCUGUGGGACAUGCAUAUUCAUUUCAUCACCAUCAAAAUCUGCAUUAUAUGGGUUGCAAACUGAUUCAUUAAACCUCAAUGUUCUCCAAGGCAUUAUCCGCGCCUACAUGCAUAAAUAAGAAAACUUAAUUAAAUGUUAAAAAAAGAACUUCAAAUGAUACCUAUUUGUACACUUAAAAUCAGUUUUAAUCACCCUAUGGCACAUGAUUGACAUCCGAUGCAAACUUGGUUGUCUGUUAAAAAGAACAACAUCGCCAUCUUCCAAGUGACGCUCAACUAUGUAACCAUAUUUCAGUUCAUCAGCAAAGCGCUUUCUGCCACUAAACAUCAAAGACCUGCAGCAUAAAACAAGUGAUUCCACCACAUCAACACAAGAAGCAUUUGCCAAUGACAGAGAAACAAUUAAAAAUGAUCCUUACCUCAUAGAACCAUCAGGAUAUCUGAUAAGCUUCGCACCAGGGUAUUUAAAAGGACCAUUGAGAAUGCAUUGUCUCAGCUUCUCUAUAUUGUGAUGAGAAACACGUUCAGGAUAACUUAAGAUCUUAGCCAUCAGGAUGGGGAUUGCCACCUAGAGACAAUAGAUCCAUUUGAUUUCCAAAUAAACAGCAGGCACAACAAAGCAGCCCAAAAAUCAAUGAAGCUUUUAGUAAAGCAUCUGACCUCGGUAAUUUUUAGAUUAGGGUCAGGCGAUAUAACAGUCCUGCCAGUAUACUCAACACGCUUCCCAGACAAGUUCCCACGAAAACGCCCCUGCUUCCCUUUGAGGCGCUGAACGAAACCACUCAAUGGCCUGGCAGCUUGCAUAGCUAGUGGAACACCACGAACAUCACUGUUGAUAUACUGGGCAACCUCAAUUUGAAGAUAAUCCCAACCAGCCUAAACAAACAUCUCCAGCAUAAGCAUUGCAUGAUCAUAGAAUCUGGGACCAACAAUAUAACUACAAACUUUUCUAAAAACAAUAUAACUACAAUCCCACUUUUAAGUUCUCAAAAGACUGAAAGAAGAUUCCAAUAAAGAAAGUAACAGAAAUAUAUGAAUACCAUGUGACGCAUAAAAGAGAUACUUAAAAAACAAAUAAAAGAUGUCAACCACUUUCUUCAAAGACACAAGAAGAAACAAAAAAAUAGAAAAAAAAAAAAAAAAAUAGAAAACCAAUCAGAAUAUAAAAAUAGGUUAGGAGUUCAAACAAGAGGCAAUUCAUAAAAAAGAAGAGCACAAACCCAAUGCUAACUAUCAAGGACAACUUCUUAUCUAUAAAACAAGAAAAGGCAACUUCAACGUCCAAAAAAUGAAAAGGGGAAAUAAUACAUUAAGGAAUCAUGUGAAAGUCCAUCAAGAAAAAAAAAAUUGAACAAAUAUGAACAGACACAUAAAAAGGAAAAAAGGAAUCAUCAUGCAACAAUAUUGAUAUCAAAGAAAAUUCUGCAGGGAAGAGGGUAGAAGGUCAAAAUCCUCCAUACCAGACAUUUGGAUGUGGAGCCUGUGUCCUGUAACUCUUGAUGAAGGCUAGCAUUUGCUUGAAUAAUCCGCUUUAGCCUCUCAGUAACAUCAUUUUCAUUGCUGCAAUAGCAAAAAAAGAGACUUUUAAGCAUUAUUAAAAGCACUAGAAAGCUACAAAAUAAAGAAAAUUUAUCCACAACAUGCUUAUGCAACACAACAAACAAAGAUAUUAUUAAAUUUAUGCUGAGCAGACCUCUGUGUUCCACCAUCCAUAAAAACUGAAGGACGAAUAGCGAUGGGUGGCACUCCAAUGUUCGUUAAAACAAGUUUUUCUGGUCUUUCAGCAAGAUUAAGCAAAUCACAAUCCUGUAGCACAAUCAAUUGAAGAAUACAUUAUACUAAUAAGAAAUGCAAUGUAAUUAUUACAACUUAAUAUUUGCUAAGGCUACUAACCUAAGCAUUAAUUAACUUGAUACACACAGUUAGACUAUUACCUAAUACCUUAAGCUUUUGGAUUAAAUUAGCAGUCUGUCAUGGUAUUAGAGCCUAUGUUACUAGAGGUCUUAGGUUCAUUCAAAGCCCAUUGCUCAUGUAUUCCUAUUAUUUGAACCCAUUGUGACAAGAGAUUGCAAAUGGGGCAGAUAUGGCCAUUAGCCUAAGUGUUAAUUGGUUUGAUACAUUUUUUUUUUUUUUUUGAUAGGUAAAAGAAAUUUCAUUAAAAGCCAAAGAGGCUAAAGAAAGAGUAUACACAGAGUAUACCAAGAUACAUAGGUGCAAAAGGCAAAAGGACAAACAAACUUGACCCUUACUUGAUAGCUAACCAGUCUACAAAAUCUAUCAAAGAGAAAGUGUGUUCCUCUAUAUACACCCUAGCCCAAUUCACAAAAGUGUACAAAAAGGUGGAUUUAAUUUCUUGGUUAUUCCUCUCAACAUCAUCGAAGGCCCUCCUAUUCCUUUCUUUCCAAAUGGUCCACAUCAAGUAGAAGGGGGCAGCUCUCCAAGCUUUCUCUCUUUUCUUGCCCACAAAGGAACCAUGCCAUCCCAGGAGGUUCCUUCUCACAGAGGAGUGCAUCACCCAUUGCACCCCAAAAAGGGAGAAGAUCAGAAGCCAUAACAUUCUGGCCUUCUCGCAACAAAAGAAGAUGAUCUGUGGUUUCCUCCUCAUUUUUACACAAAUAGCACUUGUUGGGGAUGCUCCAUCCAAAUCUCUUCAGGCGGUCGAUGGUGAGCAGCCUGCUCCAAGCCGCCUCCCAACCAAAGAAGCUAGCCCUAAUUGGAACCCAAGGCAUCCAAAUAGUUCUAGUCGGGAAGGGAAGUCUAAUGCCCCUUGAGAGGGAGCUAUAAAAAGACUUGACUGAAAAGGUCCCAUUCUUGUUCUUUUUCCACCGGAACAAGUCAUCCACAUCCCUUCUAAUGGUCAAAGGAUGAAGCUUGUUUAACAAGCUUUCUACUUCCCCCACCUCCCAAUCAUUUAGGUGUCUAUUAAAACGAAGACCCCAGCUAUCCCCAACUCCGUCUUCCUCCCAAGCCUCAGCAACCCAACCUUCUUUGUUGAUAGUUUGAUACAUAUAAUGACAUAUUACCUAAUAGCCUAAGUUUUUGGGAAAAAGUUGUAGCUUAACAAUCUGUAAUACAUAUAUGAGUUUGUAUACUCCAAAAAUUGAAAUUCUGUAAAACCGUUACAGAAGUAUACCUCAUCCAUCAUCCUUUUAAAAAGAGAAAGAACUUUGACAGGGUUAAGAAUAUCAACAACACUGAAUGAUGCCUUGGACUCUUUGGUGUGAGAAAUUGCUGAACUGCAUUCUUCCAAGCUUCCAUCAGCAAUUUUUGAACGAUCAUGGAUAAUUCCCAAAACAGAUACAGCCUUUUUCACAAUACCUGCAAUGCACGACAAAUAAAAGUAAUCAUUAUCAAACUGCAGUUUGAUAAAAGAAGGCCCUUAACAGAUGCAGAAAACAGAAAUCAUGCAUAGAGGGGAAAACAUUACCCACUUGUUAAAUUGCCAUGCAUAAAUACUGGACUAGUCAUAGAAUAACAUGUAACCAAGUUGCCAAAUAAAAUUUCACCACAUGUCAUAAAAAUCUAUUGCAUGGUUAGUGGUACACAAGAAGGUAAAUACCAAUGACAUGUUACAGUUGAGAAGACCUUUCAAAGCCCUUAGCCUUGAUUGGUGCAUCCUUUGUAGGAGAAGCUGAGAGAUGAUUGAUCAUCUCUUCUUACAUUGUCCGAUUACUUUGGGAUUGUGGCAUUAAAAUUUUCACAGGUUGGGAUGGAGUGGGUUCAGCUAGACAAUAUUUGUGAUAUGAUGGUGUUUCUUUCAAGUGUUUUGGGAAUUCCAUUAGAGGCAAGACUUUUUGGAGGAUUGUGUGUCUCUCUCUAUUGUGGAUUGUGUGGAAAAAGAAGAAUGUUAGGAUUUUCAAGGACAUUUGGAAGACACUAGAGAUGAUGUGGGACCAUUUCUAUGUUUCUUUUUUGGCUCACUGUACAAACAUUUUUAAACCCUAUCCUUUAAGUGUAAUUCAGCUUAGUUGGCUUUUGAUAUGUACACCCUAUGGUUGGGUUUAUAGGGUCAAGAGAUAUCAUACUUGUAUAAGCCUUUUGUACCUUUUGUAUAGCCUUCCUUGGUUAGUGAAGGUUUACUUAGUUCUUUCGAUCAGGUUUGUACAUCAUGGGGAGGAUUCCUCAUCCUUCUCAUGUUUCUUUUAAUUUUUAAUAUAUAUGUUUGGUUUAUGAUAAAAAUAAAAUUAAAAAUAAAAAUCUAUGGCGUAAAACGUGUGAUAAAAAGGAUGCCAUGUGGUGUUAAGCAUUUCAAAUGAAACAAAGCCAAGUAUUUGAUGCAAGAUAAAUAUAGUAAAUAAAAAAAUGUUAGGUCUUCAAACCAAAUAGUGUAAUAUGUCACGUGGGGCCUAGCGGUCUUCCGAAGAAAUAAAAAUAAAUGAACUAAUGUUGAUAAAUAACAUAUACAUAUCAAUUAGCUAAUUUUGAUAAUUAAAAAGAAGAUAAUUAUCACAUUAAUUGUAGUUAUCCCCAAAAAAUUAAGGGAUAAUUGAAUAAGUUUUCUCAAUCUCUAUAAAAUUAAUUAAAAAUUUUAAAUAAAUUAAAAAAAAAAAAAAAAAAAAAAAAAGCCCCUUUAGAUUUUUUUUUUUUUUUUUUUUUUUUUUAUCAGUAAGUAAUAUGUGUAUUCAAAAGAGAGGAGCCCCUUUAGAUUUCAAAUCACAACUUCAAGAUGGCCUUCAAGAUUUUGCAAAAUUCUUUGAAUUUCUUUGAGUUCUUCAAAACCUUUUAAGCAAUUCUAUAAAUUCUUCAAGAUUUGAACCCAAGUUUAAAGAUUCUUAAAGGCCAAGACUAAAAAUUCAAAGUUCUUCAAGAUGGCAUCUUUGAUCCAAAAUUAUGCAUUCGAGUUCUUAGAAUGGCAUUUUUGUUUUCCUAUAAAAGGGGAAUUAGGAAAUAUUAUAGAGUUUGUACACAUUACAUCUAAAAAUAAUAAAAUUACAUUUUAACACACAAUUUUCCAUUAAGCUAAAAUUUGUAUGUAGACCAUAAUGUCUAACUUCUCAUUUAUCCAAAUGAUUGUAAACCUCUAAAAAUAAGCCAAUGUAUGCUUCUCCUUUCCUUUUCUAUGGGCAAGAGGAAACCUUAUUCAGUAAACACACACAAAAAUAAAUAAAUAAAUAAAUAAAUAAAAAGAGAAGUCAUCCAAGUAUGUAGGUAGUAUAUGAACAACAAGCUGAAUGAAAAGGAAAAAAAUAAAUAAAUGCAUACUAGGCAUCUCCUGACCUAAUGAUGAAAUCCACCAAGGAAAAACUCCAAUCCUCAAAAAGAGUCCAUAAAACAUGCAAACAAGGAUUCAAGAUAAAUGUCUACAGUUUCAACUCUUUGAGCUCCACUCAUUCAUACUUAAAAGUUGUUAAGGUUCAAAGUCUUCCCAUCAACUAAAUCUUCAAGCAAGGCAAUGAUCCCAACUCUUUGACUAUAUCUAAACUAGCAAGCCCAGAGGAAGAUCUAACCAUGAUGCCUUCAUACCCUCUAGAAACACCUUGGGUUCUGGAAACAGUCAUUAAAGUUCAACUCAAGGUACUCUACAGGUGAGGAUUCCACAUUAUCCAUAUAUAUAUAUUCCAAAAUCUUAUUUGACUAUCAAAUAAAAAAUGGCCAUGCUCUCUCUUGAUAAUAGCAUUUGCUACUCUCUAAGCUAGCAUAUUCAAGCCCAAUGAAGCACCCAGAGUCCUCUGAAAUUAAUCCCUAAAAAGAAGUAAGUGAAUCAGAUCCCACAAGGACUCCCAAAGGUCUGUGAUAUUCUUAAACAUCCGAACAUUCUUUCCAACCAAAUCAAUAAUAAGGCAACAAACAUAACUCCCUCCUACAGCACUCUGCUCCUAGAACUUUUCCAAGGCCUUCAACGGAAAUAAUCAUAAUAUCUUUGACAGCUCUAAAUGCAACCCAAGAAAUAUCAGUCAACAUGAAUAAUCUCCCCAAUAAUCUCAAAUCAAUAUGGCAAACUUGGCAAUGAAGGAGAAAAAAUAAUCUUUCAUUCUGAUUCUGCCUAAGCAGAGAACGCAAAACUGAGGCUAAAGGCUCUAAAAAGCCCCUUAGUCUUAAACCUUUUUAUCAGCUGAAAGCCACACGAAGGUGGAAUUUAGGUGGAAUCAUAGUGUUACAAAUAAAUUUAGACCAAUGGAAUAUAACUGGAAAUUUGUUCCUAGACAAUGUAUGAAAGGACUUCAGAGAAAACCAUCCUUAAGGAACGAAAGGUCCAAACAUGUUUGUCAAGUCAAAAAGGGGAGAACAAAAGCAAGCAUGAGAAGGGAGGGACCACUGUUUUUUCAAUUAGUCAAAUUGCAGCAAAGUAUAAGUUAAGGAAACGAGAAAAGAGACUGGUUUAUAACAAAAUACGUAGAAACAAGAUAGAGACAAGUUUUGGAGUUCAAAGAGUGGAUUUUUCCACCACAAAUUCUCUCAAAGUCAAAUUUUGGAAUCAACACCAGUAAAAGAGAACCCAAUACAUUGUUGGAAAAUAAGAAAUCUUCUUCUUCUUCUUCUUUUUUUUUUCCGAUAGGUAUAAGAAAUCUUCUUAUUCACUCAUUGAAAAAACUAGUACAGAUAUAUAUAUACAACUUUCAAACUUGCACAAUAAAUCAAAACCAAAUAAUACAGCCGACUCACUCCUAAAAUUCUUCCUACAAAUCCUCUAAAUUACAACUCCCCUAAUUUACAUUGUCGACUAAUUUAAAUACACAUAUAAUCAGGAGUAAAUCAAAUAAACCUCAUGAAAUCAGGAACAAUUAUUGGAUUCCAAUAUACAUAACAUCAAAGAAACCCUUUUUGUGGGGACAGAAGUUCUUGGGUUUGUAGGGUAAUCCAUCUUGCCUUGUCAAUAUUUCAUACAGGUUUCAGUAUGGGAAGAAUUUCUUAAACCCAUUUAGCUUUGCACUAACAUCAGGUAUUGGAUUGCCUCAUCCCAAUUAUUAUGUUAUUUUAAUCCCAAUUAUGAUAUUAUUUUAUUAAAACAUCCUUCAAGCUAUAUAAAAUUACAAAAUUUCCAAUAUAAACCCAUUGCAUCCUAGGCCCCAACCAUGCUGCCAUGCCACAAGUAGCACCCCUUUCCUAAGUGCACACGACAAUUUUCAAGCUACACAGACAUGACGCAUUCCUCAGUGAACAAACCCUUAAAAACCUCAUCAUAAUCAUUUAAUCACACUCAUCAUCAAUUUUUUUCUCUCUAUUUGAUGUAUUCUCUGCUAUCAACCUUUGUUAUAUACAUAUAUAUACAUAUAGAUAUAGAUAUAUCAUUUUUCUUUUCUUUGAGAUUUCCCUUCACCAUCAAUUUGGUUGCAAAGAGAACUGUGGAAAAAAAAUUACCCUAAAUAAGCUGGAUAGUUGCUAAUGGAUCUUUUUUCUCUCAGUUCACAAUUUUCUUUACUUAUGCUUUCUGCCUUUUUCUGGAAACCAAACCAAGUCUGUGCAGCUCAGAAUAAAUAAUUAUUUUUAUCUCUCUUUUGCUCUAUUCCCCCCCCCCCCCCAACCUAUUUCUUUUCUAGUUUAAUGUAUUUGUANNNNNNNNNNNNNNNNNNNNNNNNNNNNNNNNNNNNNNNNNNNNNNNNNNNNNNNNNNNNNNNNNNNNNNNNNNNNNNNNNNNNNNNNNNNNNNNNNNUUUUUUUUUUUUUUUUUUUUUUUUUUCCCCCCCCCCCCCCCCCCCCCCCCUCCUCUCUCUCUCUCUCUUUUUCCCUCAUUUUCAAUGAACACACUUUUUUGUUCUUUUUUUUUCAUUUUUUUUAACAGAAAAUACCACAACGUGGCAACUAGCCGUUAGGAUACAGUCAAUAUAUGUUUUCUUCCUUGUGUGUGUCUCCCUUCCAAUCCUCAUAAUCAUUUUCUUUUCCUCUAAAAGUUCUUUAUUUUUUCUUGGAUGGUUUUGCCAGUAACCCCACCUAAACCUGAUAAACUUACUACUGUCAGUACAAAUCUGGGUGAAGGGUAGUUUACAAAAGAGUUCAAAAUACGUUAACCAUUGCCUCAAAAAAAAUAUAUAUAUAUUGAAUGAAUGUGAAAUACAAGACCCUACUACUGCCCAAUCAAAAUCACAGUUUGGAGAUUUUAUCAAAAGGAAAAAAAAAAAAAAAAAGGCUUCAGCAAAUUGGGAAAUGCAAUGAAAAGUGGAAAUCAAAGGACAUCUUGCAG
rnacentral:lncRNA from 1 species